rnacentral:lncRNA from 1 species
UUGACAGCUUACAACUCUAAUUGCAAAGACAAUUCAGAUGGUAAAUAAAUAUCUAAGCAAUAGAAAGAAAUAAUGAGAAAAUAUUAUAAUUACCAAAGAAGACAGUGAUAUAUACAAAAGGUUAUACUGCGACACAAAUUCGCCACAAAUCAAGAAAGUUUUUUUUUUUUUUUUUUUGAAGACCUUUAACUUUGAAAGGGGCGAUAACAUACUAAACUCACACACACACUAGAUGGAUGUUAAUUAGGAUUCGAACCCAAGAUCUUUCUUGAGGGAGCAUUUGCUUCAAACCACUACACUAGUGGGUCCUUUGCAAUCAAGAAUGUUUUAGAUCUUCAUCCAUGAUUUUAUACUGUUUAAACAAAUCCUCUUAAUUACUUGACGUAUUCGACAUCUGAUUAAGGUUUCACUCUAAAGUCUCAUCAGUUAUCAAAUUAUACAUAAGUUUGAUUGCUAAUUAAGCUUCUUUGUUGACAGUCUCCUUUGAUCUCCUAAAAUGGCUGCGGUCAAUGCAUCAAUGCUUAUGUGUCAAAUUCUCUUCAACAGUUUCUUCACCUCAGUAAGGAUUGAAAAGAACAAGAAAAAAAAAAAAAAGAGAAGUGGAAGUGGAAGUGGAAGAAACAGCAAUUAAAAAACUGCUUCAGUUUGUCGGGUGUUCUCCCAAACUGAGGUUCUAAGGGGAGCGCAGAUGACCUGGGAAAAAAACGGUGGCUUUUAUUUUGUGUGUGGAAAUUGAGUUUGAUUCUAAGUGUGCCAUCUGUUUAGCUUUCGGCAUGUGUUGAGCAACAUUAAUUUGAUGAUGGUGGUAUGGCUAACCUGGGCCUUACCAUUGAAUAUUUUUUUUUGGGUUCAAAAGUAAGGUCUUCUUUUUUUUUCUUUUCUUUUUUUUUUCUUUUUUCUUUUUUUUUUUUUUUGUGUGUGGACAGAAUUAGAAGGUCCUUACUAUUGAUUUGGCUCCUAGGAAACUUGUCAUCCCCAGUCUUUUUUAUUUUAUUUUUAAUAUAAGCGAUAAUCUAAACUACGAAGGGGAGGGAGUUUCUCGACACAUACACUACCAAAGUGCCAUGGGGAUUUGAACUUGAGAUCAUUGAUCUGCAUAUCAAAACCCUUUUCAAUUAUGCUAGACCUCGUUGGCCACACCAGUCUAUUCUUAAUUUGCUUGUUGAGGAUUAUGUUAGGUUUUGUAAUUAGGAGCAAAUUAUGGUUCACUAGUAUUCGAUGCGAAAACAAGGGCAAAUCUAUAUGCCACUCCAGCCCAGUGCUGAAUUUUUAGAAUAUACAAACUUAGGCAGUUGUCCAAGCCCAAACUAGGUAAAUCAAAUAUUAGUCCACCCCUCUAUUUUAAAAUAAGGCCACCUCUGCAUAAAUCCAACCAUUGGAUUGACUAGAAUACAUGCGAUGCAACUUUGGAGCGUCUUACUGUGAUGAGAUUUCCUUCCAGCAUGUCCUUCAGGAAGCUAACUUCACUGCUGACGCUUUAGCUAAUAUAGGCCACAAUCUGAACACUUCCCACCUUUGGGAUCGGGGUCUUCCUUUAAGUUGCUCGACUCCCUUCUACUUUGAUCUAGUUGGGCCUGUGUGCCCUCGUGGUUUCCGUUUGUAAUUUUUUUGUUUCCGUUUGUAAAUAUUGUUGAUAUGUGGUCAUGUUGGCCUCACCACCCCUAAAAUAAGGCCCCACGUGCCUCCAUAAAGGUAAAUAUAAUAUUGUUUAUUAUAAAAGUGAAUGAUAAUUUCCUUUUGGACUAACGACAUUUCACUCUAUUGAGGUUUAGGGUUUGUAUCGAAAUAGGCCCCGAGAUUUCAAUUUCAUCGAUUCCAAAUCCUGUCUUAACAUCCUCAAUACUUAAUAUAUUUCAUCUAAAGCCAAGCAAGAAAGGAGCUGGUGCUUUUAAAGCCCCACUGGCCUCAACUUCAUGUCAACUAAUGCUUCAACUGCAAGAUCAAAUGGUGUAGAUGAAGCAUAAUGAAGAAAGGGAUCAUUAAGGUAUUUGGUUGUUAGAUUAGCAUUUUGUGAUGUAAUUGGUUUUUGUUGUUGGUUAAUUGGUCCUAGGGUUUAGGCCUUGUUGUUUUUGGUAAAUUGGUCCUAGAGUCUGACUGCAAGAGUGCCUAUGAUCUGCUGGCCAUUCUUUGAUGACCAGAGAACCAAUUGUUAUUAUACUUGCAAUGAAUUGGGCAGUGGCAUGGAGAUUGAUAACAAUGUCAAGAGAGAUGAAGUGGAGAUGCUUGUUAGAGAGUUUAUGAAGGGAGAGAAGGGUAAGAAAUUGAAAAGGUAGGCUGACUGGAAGAAACUAGCAGAAAAUGCAACUGAUCCACAUGGCUCCUAAUCCAUUAACUUAGAUAAUUUAGUCCAUCAAGUGCUGUUAAGAAAAAAAAAACUAGAUGUUAUCCAUAUCCAUAUUCAUAUAAAUAAAAAAUCGCCACAUUAUUGUUGGUAUCUCUAUUAUUAUUAUUCAUGUAUGAUGUCAUGCGGAGUCUAAUAGCAUGUUUUCUUUUCACUAUUAGAAAAGUCACUUAUAAGCCACACAUUACAUGUGGCCAACAUUCAUGUUGGCUACAAACAACCGUGGCCAAAGAGUAUUGCCUUUUACUUUUGGCCACGACAAAAAUGUCUGUAACCUAUAGGUGGUAGAUCCCACCAUGUCUCCCCACCCUUACAAAUGCCUGCAUUCACUAAUUAAAAUAUUAAUAUUUUUUAAAUCCCCGUAAUCAUUACCAAAUGAUGAAGAUAGCUAGUACAUUUUUUUUGUUUUGUGAGCCACUGUUCUUUUAGAGACGUUCUAACAAUUAUCUUCCUUUGUUUUAAUUUCUAUUUCUUAUUUUGUUCUUAAAAAAAAAAAAAUAUUGAAAGAAGUAAAUAAAAUAAACUUUGGAUAAACUGUGGUGAGGGAUUUGGAAUAGUACAUAAAAUAUUGGGAAAUACGCGGCUUUGCCCCUGGCGCACAUGUUUUUUUCACUAAUAUCCCUUCUUUGAAACCUAAUUAAAAAUGCCCUCUAUAAAACCUCCCUAAUGCCUGUGUAUUGCCCUUGUAUCACUUUUUUUUUGUGGUUCUGAGCUCAGAGCUCUCACUCUCACUCACUCACCCACUCACCUCUUCUCUUGUCUGUUCUCUCUCCCUUUCACCCACAUUGGCGACAGCAAUUGUCACCUCCUCAGAACCCACAUCGGCGACGACGACCUCACUCUCUCUCUUUUGGCCGCUAUUCUUCACCUCCAUCUCUCACUCUCUGUCACCUAUUUCAACCGCCGUUCUUCCCCUCCGGUUCAACAAAUUUCUCAAUUUUCUUCAGCAUUCCUGAAAUCCAUAUAACUAGAGAUGACAUCCCAGGUACCCAGCUCAACUUUACGCCUUUACUUUCAUACCCAUAUGUUAGUUGGGUUUUCUUCUGCUUGUUUCAAUUUCAUAUAGUGGUUUAGAAAGUUGCUCAAAAUCCAAAUUCUUGGUACAUCGUUUUAUUUAUCAUGCUUAUUUGCUUGUUCUGAAUAUAUGAUUCUAUUUGUUUGGUUAGGCUGAGUUGAUGAGUGCAUGAAAAAAUGGCCUGUAGGCGUUCGAUGAAUCACCUUAAUGAGGCGCACUAUGGUUUUCUUUGAGAUAUAAACCAAUUGGGACAAUUCUCACGGUAUAUACUUAAAGGUGAACUUCUAGGAGGACCCAAUGAACCCAUCUAAAUGGAAGGAAGAACAUGUGAAUUUUAUUAUAAUUUGUUUACGAAGAUGUCUUUACAGUGCAUAAUGGUUUUGUUAGAUCGCCAUUGACAUUAGUUUAAUUACCUUUUAACAAUGCUUGAGAAAUGUCCCUGUUUUUACAUGAAGACUUACACAAGCACCAUAUUAUGUCAGUUUAUAGUGAAUGGAUACUUGGUUGUGUCAUUUGAUAUUUGGAAUUCUAUUAGAUUUAUUUUCUUAUUUUUCAACUUUUGGGUCAUGCCUUGAGUUUCUUUCAUUUCGACAUCGGCAUUUAACUUGUGCUGUGAACAAGUUAAUGUUAGAUUUCUUUAAUACACAAACUGGAUCUUUCACGCAAAUUGUAACAUGUAUAAAGACAUGAAGACAUACCAAAAGCCAUCUUCUUUGAGUACACAGCUUCUGAACUCAUCCAAUCCGUAGCAGCAGCAAUCCUAGCAAGAACAAGAAUAGCUCAAGACUUAUGCUCUCUCUCAUAAUCUAUUUUAGCUCUCUCUUUAUCAUGAGAAUAGGUUUAGAGAACGUGUCUGAUGAGAGCAGGGCCUUUAGCUUAUAUAGGGCUAGGUCAAGUCGUCUCUACUCAUCACCAAGGGCCGACUUGACUUAUCUUCCAAGCCCAGUUAAUCGAGUCACGCAUAAAUGGAAAUAAAAUAGGACCCCUUAAUAGGCCUCAAAACCCUUCCUUAUUUCACUAGGUUUUGGACCUCAAGGUACAACUUAAUUUAAACUCUUAUCAAACCUGAUAUGACUUAGUAUCUAGUGCACCGAUCUAAAUAGAAAAACAUAACAUUCUCCCACUAGAUCAAGCACUAGAACACUAAGCUUCUGUAUUCCGAAAGGUUUGAUUAUCUUCAUUGGCCAUGAGUCUAAAACAGUUAAGUCCUUCCCCUCAAGCUACCGUGAAAAGUGAUUAAACAAAACGAACUAUAGAGAAGCACUGCUCUCUUUAUUAAAAACAGGUCAUCUAUAAUUACAUGAUGCAAUCUCAAAACACAUGAAGCACCUACAACGCGAACCUUAAUAUGUACUGAUCCUUAAUGUGAAUCUUUAUGCAUUUCAGUACAAGUACCCCUUUACGACUUAGCAACAGUCAAUCCGCAAUGUUAUUAAAAAUAAUAGUAUCUCUAAAGAAACCAUAAACUCACAUGCAUAAUAAGUUUAAAUAGCUAAAUAGUCAAAAUGGUAGAAUUUAUUCAAUAAAAAAUAAAACUGUCAACCAAAUUGACAUCCUUAAAUGCAAAUCCCUUAAUCCAGAAAAACAGCAAAAUAAACAAACCAAACAAACUAGUAAAAAUAUCAUAAUGGGAACAAGACUCCCACUAGAUUGUAGCAUCAAAGCUAGGAAAAAGUCCCAUGCUCUCAACAUUUCUCAGAAAAAGCUUCCGAAGGCAAAAACUUUGUGAACGGAUCUGCAAUCAUAUCUUGAGUUCUAAUAUGAUCAAAUCUGACUAGUUUGUCCGCUACCUUCUCCCUCACUAUUAAAUACUUUCUGUCAAUAUGCUGAAGUUCAAAUGACAUCUUCUUGUUCAUGCAGUGAAAAACAAUCGCAGUGUUGUCAUUAUAUAUCUGUAUUGGUCUAUAAAUCGAGUUCACCACCUUAAUAUCUUUAGUAAAAUUCCUUAGCCAUACUGCAUGAGAAGUGGCUUCAUAGCAAGCUAUGUAUUCUGAAAACAUGGUUGAACUCGAAACAUGCGUAUGUAAAUCAACAUAUAAGCCUUUGUUCUAUGUAGGUCCCUCAAAACCUUCUUUCCAACUAUCCAAUGUUGCAUUCCCGGAUUUGACUGAAAUCUCCCCAUCUAGCUAAUGCACAAGGCUAGGUCUAGCCUUGUACACACUUGUGCAUAAAUAAUGCUUCCAACUAGAGAAGCGUAUGGCUUGUUCCUCAUCUCAUCUUCUUCUUCUUUAUUCUUGGGGCAAUGCUCCUUCUUUAAAUCUCCUUUAGCUAAUGAAACUUUCUGUCCAGAACACAUACACAUGUCAAAACACUUGAGUACCUUAUCAAUGUAUGUCUUCUGUGAUAGGCCUAGAAGGCCUCAAGCCCGGUCUCUCUGAAUCUCAAUGCCCAACACAAGAGCAGCUUCUCCCAAAUCCUUCAUCUCAAAAUUAUUUGAAAGUAGUUCCUUGGUGUCUUUCACUAAAUUGUGGUCAUUUGUAGCCAAAAGUAUGUCGUCGAUAUACAGCACCAGAAAAAUAAAUCGACUCCCACAUUUCUUUAGAUAAAGGCACUGGUUAGCUAUGUUCUCUUCAAAACCAUAAUAGGAAAUAGUUUGGUGGAAUUUGAAAUACCACCUCCUGCUUGCUUGCUUCAGUCCAUAAAUUUCCUUGCCAAGUUUGCAAACUAUAUGCUUUUUGUCCUUCACCAAAUUGUGGUCAUUUGAAGCCAAAAGUAUGUCGUCGACAUACAGCACCAGAAAAAUAAAUUGACUCCCACAUUUCUUCAAAUUAAUGCACUGGUCAGCUAUGUUCUCUUCAAAACCAUAAGAGGAAAUAGUUUGGUGAAAUUUGAAAUACCACCUUCUGCUUGCUUGCUUCAGUCCAUAAAUUGCCUUGCCAAGGUUGCAAACCAUAUGCUCAUUUCCUCCUUUGCAAACUCUUCAAGUUGCCUUAUAAAAUUUUCCUCUUCAAGUUCUCCAGUCAUGGAAGUAGUUUUUAGAUCCAUUUGAUGUAAAAGUAGGUCAUAAUGGCCCACCAAAACCAUAAUGACGUGGAAAAAUCUUUGGUGGAAAUUGGAGAAAAUGUCUCAGUAUAAUCAAUUCCCCCCCUUUGGGUAAAUCUUUUGGCUACCAAUCUAGCCUUAAACCUUUCGAUUCUUUCAUCCUUAUCUUUCUUUUGUUUUGAAUAUCCAGUUCGAGCCUACCAAUUUCUGGCUCUUGUGGGGUUUAACUAAUUCCCAUACUUGAUUAUUCUUCAUGCUCUCAAGUUCUUUCAACAUCGCUUCCCUCCAUUUGUCUGCAUUUUGACUUUCCAUUGCUUUUCUAAAACUUGUUGGAUCAGCCUCAUCUCCAUUGUCAAAUCUGCUUCUUUAAAGUACACAUAAUCUGAAUUUGUUGUGGAUCUUCUUGAUCUGUCAGCUCUCCUCAGUUGUACAGGUUCUUGUGGAUCAUCCAGCUCAGGAUUCUCAACAACUUGUUCUUGUGGUUCAACUGGUUCUUCAAAUUGAGGAUUUUCCAAUACAGUUUUACUUAAAGGAAUCAAGGGUGUAACAUCUUGUUUAGCAUUCUCAAUCACAGCUACAUCACCUUUUUCUUCAAAAUAAAAUCUUUAUUCCCAGUGGCAUUCUCCUCAUGCUCUAUAAACUUUGCACAACCAGUCUCAACAAUUCGGGUACCAUAUUUUGGACAAUAAAAUCUGAAACCCUUUGACCUUGCGAGAUAACCUAUAAAAUGACAUCUUAUCGUUUUAGGAUCAAGCUUCUACUCUCGAGGGUUAUAGAUUCUAGCUUCAGCCUUGCAACCCCAUACAUGAAGAUAUCUUAGGCUAGGUUUUCUGGUAGUCCAAAUUUUAAAAGGUGUCUUAGGUACGCAGUUACUAGGCACUCUAUAGUUUGUUGUUUUUUAUCGCCUCUCUUAAAAUUGUAGGCAAAUCAGUUCUAGAAAUCUUGCUAAGGACCAUGUCCUUCAAGGUUCGAUCCUUUUUCUCAGCCACACCAUUCUGUUGCAAAAUUCAUGGUGUUGUGUACUGAGUAACUAUUCUAUUAUCUUGUAGGUACCUAGCAAAAAGUCCAGCAUGUCGUCCUCCUUCAUCAAAAUGUCUUUAAUCCUUUUCUUAAGCUGCCUUUCUACUUCAGUUUGGAAAAUCUUAAACAUUUCAAAGCUUCAGACUUUUUUAUGCUAUGAGAUACAGAUAACCAAAACGAGAAUGGUCAUCUAUAAAGGUGAUGAAAAAGCGAUUUCCAUGAAUUGUUUGAUGAGGGAAAGGUCCACAAAAAACUAUGUGGAUGAACUCUAAAAGUAUCACUAUCGCGAGUUGCACCUUUCUUCUUAGUCUUAGUGAGUUUUCCUUUGACACACAUAAUACAAAUUUCAUCAUCACCGAAAAAUAGUGAUGGCAAGAUUUGUUCCUUAACUAGAAUUUUCAUUCUUUCUUUUGAAAUGUGCCUUAAAUGCCUAUGCCAUUCAAACUUUACUAUCUUUAUUGUAAUUGAGACAACAUAAUCCAUCUUUAUUAUCUUUGAAUUUUGAGAUACAAACACAUCUUUAUUGAAACCAAAAUAAAACCAAGUCUUAAUAAUCUUGAAACAAAAAUUGAAUUUCUCUUUAUUUAGGGUACUGAAAACUACAUCAUCCAACUCUAAAAGAAAUCCUGAAUUCAACUUAAAAAAUAACUACUCCAAUAAUAUUUAAGGAAAACAACAGGUAGCUAUCUAAUCCUCCUUGUCACAACUUGCUGCCAUGAAAGUGUUGUUCUCUCUAGCAGGGAAUGGGUCAAGUACCACUAUCUCUCUAUUAGUGGCGGCAUCUAAAUUCUCAACAUGUGAUUCAGGUUGGGGUUUAGGUUUCACAGAUUUCACUAGGAGAUUCUUGUAUCGAAGUAGCUUAUUGAUAUUUCUUCCUCUCCUAUAAGCGCAUACACUAAGAUUUAUAGAGGUCCUAAGACUUUUGAGACUGUCCUUUGUAGUCGUGUAUAUCCUUAUGGGCCCUCCAUAUGGUUAACAAUUUCGCUGCGCCUUAACCCUUUUUCGCUCCAGCUCAUCUUCGUGCCACUUCUUAAUUAACUCCACUGUAUUCUUUACUAGAAUGCCAUUCAUGACAAGUUGGCAUGAGUGAUACCUAUUGAAUGCCAGAUUUUUUUUUUUUUUCACCUAAGCUCUAGGAGUUAUACUACAAGACACAUAAGUGAAAAGGCUAACGUGAAUUAAAUAUAGCCAUGAGUGAGAUCAUAAACGAUCUCAUUCAUUCCGACAAUAACUUUAAAACCAAACGUCCAUAAAUUAAAGUUUGAUCUAAUGAAUCUUUCAAUUUGCGUGAAAUUGAUUGAGGGAGUGUUUAAAGCUGUAAGGAUUUGCAAACAAAAGCAUAUUACUUUCCUAGAAAUCGAUUCUCAAUUUGUUAAGAGAAAACAGUUUAACUUUAUUCACAGAACUAACAAAUAAUAUAUGCAAGCGUCCUUAAUUAAGUAUCACACCUUUGUGGCAAGAGAUUACUUAUAGCUUACACAAAUUACAUAUUAUCUUGUGCCAUCACAAAUAAAUUACAUGACAGAUUCUAUUUGUUAAAGAAACUUAUCAAGCAAUUUAGGUAUGAUGUAAUUUUCGAUUAUUUCUUUAGGGUUUGAGUAUUUAGGUUUGGUUUUGUUAUGAAAAGUUUGUUGAUUCCCAUAACAAAGACAAACAUAUAUCUGACUCAGAAAAAUAACCAAACAAAACACAGUUCAACAAGGAAAACCCUAAAAUUGCAGUGAAUAGUGUUUCGGCCGUGAACAGUGUUUUAGAUGUGAACAGUGUUUCGGCAGCGAACAAUGUUUUAGGGGUUCUUAGUGUCCGUUUUUGACACAAAAUACCUUUCUGCAUAGGGAAAGACCUAAUUAACACAACUCACAAAGAAGUUGUGACAUAUGGCCAUUUUUAGGGUUUUAAGGUGAUCUGCUAGGUCAAAAACGUGUUUAAAGUUUUUGAAAAUAUGAAAACCAAAUCAAAACAUGCUUUUCCAUAUUCUUGAUAUUUUCAUAAACAUAUUUAAACCAUCUUCAAAAAUUAAACAUAACCAAAAGAACUGAGCAUGGCAUAAACUGAUAUGAAAUCAUGGUAGACAUGCUUGAACAACGAUUACAGAUAAGUGCGAACAACCUUAAGCUCUGAUACCAACUGUGAGAUUUAUUUAAUACACAAACUGGAUCUUUCACACAAACUGUAACACGUAUAAAGACAUGAAGACAUACCUGGAGCCAUCUUCCUUGAGUACACAGCUUCUGAACUCAUCUAAUCCGUAGCAGCAGCAAUCCUAGCAAGAACAGGAACAACUCAAGACUUCUGCUCUCUCUCAGAAUCUAUUUCAGCUAUCUCUUUAUGAUGACAAUAGGUUUAGAGAAAGUGUCUGAUGAGAGCAGGGCCUUUAGCUUAUAUAGGGCUAGGUCAAGUCGUCUCUACUCAUCACUGAGGGCCGACUUGACUUAUCUUCCAAGCCCACUUAAUCGGGCCACGCAUAAAUGGAAAUAAAAUAGGACCCCUUAAUAGGCCUCAAAACCCUUCCUUAUUUCACUAGGUUUUGGGCCUCAAGGUACAACUUAAUUUAAACUCUUAUCAAAUCUGAUAUAACUUAGUAUCUAGUGCACCGAUCUAAAUAGGAAAACUUAACAGUUAAUACUACAUUGUUUUGUGUCAUUGUGAAAUUGAGAAAUAAAGUUCAUGUUAUUAUUUUGCAGGAAUUCUAAGUGCUAUGAUAUGGCAAAAAAGUAUGUGAACAAACAAAAGAAACAUAGAAAAGGUCUGAUGCUGCUACUUCACAUGGCCAGGUUUUGCUGCUGCUUCGUCUUCCUCAUUUACCUAAAAGAAAGGGUCUAUAUCUCUAGCAUUUGCAUCCAAAUGUCCCUUGCCAUGCCAUGCCCUACCCUGCCCUUCUGUACUAGCUAGCACUACAGCCCCUGUUGUACGUGGUCCCCUGAUUUGGUUCCUUUGAGCCAUGCGAUGCUUUCAGCUUCCUAGAUCCAACUCCAAUGACUAUUUUUUAUUAAGUCAUAAUUUACUGCCUAUAAUUAGGACCUGCGGUUUGAAAUUUUUAAUUUGGAACAAUUCAUGUACUGUUAAAACAUAAAUGGUGCAAAGCCAAUGCCGAGAAUAGAAAAAAUAAGCAAUAUGAUCAUACGGCGGUUAACACCCAUGUAGAUAUGCACUGAUCAUCAAGCUUGAGCAGUAAGGCCUUUCGUCUUGUGCUUGGUAGGUUUGCUUUUCCUCGUCCAUUAGAUGUUUUCCAAUUCUGAGGUGAUAUGAUACUCUUCCUCUUGGCAUUAUUCUCAUGGCUGUGAAAUUUCAGUUUGCAAUGAAUGACUAUAUCAAUCUAAAAGAUUAUUUUUGUGUAGAAAUUGAAUGAAAGUAAAUUGUACUGCAUACCUCUGUGGUGUCUAUGUUCUGGAGUUAAUGUUGUUGAUCAAUGAUCAGCCUCUUUCAUAAUUCUUUCAUUGAUUAAUAUUGUUGUUCUCUCAUUGUUCCGGAGUUAACUUGAUUGAGUUUUGAUGCACUGCUUGAAAUUUUGGACACCAUCUGAGUUAUAAGUUAUGAAUGAAGCACAGACGAAAAACAAUGAACUCUAUUUUUAUAAGAAACUUAGUCUGCUUUGAGUCUUUUCUUGAUACAUAAGUAGGAGAUUUUAAAUUGGGCUUGUUUGUACUUUUGCGCAUCUGCAUAUAUAGCACUAAAAGGAAAGUGAUGGUUCCAAUAGAGCAUAUCAAAGAUCUACCUCAUUAGUACCAAUUUGUCUUUUGUAUUACUCUGUAUAUACAUAUUUAUAUAUGUACAUAUUGUUAUUGCUUUAUUUUGUUUCUGUUGUAGAGGAAGAUGAUGGAUGAAUUUGAGAAGGUGAAGCAACAAUUGGUAGAGUACGAGAUCAUGUCAUGGCCCAUAUCCCACAAGCUUGGUCUCUAGCAAUUUGAAACCCUAACUCUUAAGUCUUGAGAUAAUUGGCUCUCUUUUUUUUCAUAACAGUUGGACCAAGAUUAUUGUUGGCUUCUAGAAGAUUGUUGUCAUUGUGAACCUUCAUCAAUUUGGGGUGGGACAACAUUCCAUUCAGUUGUAAGAAGUGUACUGCAGUUAUAAGGAAAAAAAACAUGUAAUUAAGCAACUAUUUGUGUGUCAGACAGACCAUGUAAUUAUUUAGUCCUCAUGGAAUGAAAUUGAGUUCAAUUUACUUGAGAAAUUUCAGUCUUGAAUAUGUUGUUUUUAUAUAUUUGCAAGUGUAUGCAAUGAAAAAAUACUUUUAUUUAUAUUAUACAUUGAAGAGAGCACAUUAUAUACAUUAUGUGUAUAUAUAGCUCAUUCUUCUUUAUAUUAUGUGUAUAUAUAGCUCAUUCUUCUUGCCUUUGUAUAGGGAUGGCAAUAGGUUGAAUAGGGGGUGGGUAUGCCAUUCCCAUCCCUCUAUCCCCGCAAAGCUUUUUUCCCCCAUCCCUACAUUCAUACCAGCAAUACAGACUUGAAAAAAAAAAAGAUAUACGAGGGCAAUGCAGUAGCAAUACACAAGCAAUAAAGGGCUAUACAAUGGCAAUACACAAACUCCAUACUACCCUUAUAAAUUUAUUCCAACAUAGACUUGAAAAAAAAAUAUAUACGGGGGCAAUAUAGUGGCAAUACACAAGCAAUAAAAGGCUAUACAAUGGCAAUACACAAACUUCAUACUCCCCUUAUAAAUUAUUCCAAGACUUAAAAAAAAAGAUAUACGGAGGCAAUACACAAGCAAUAAAAGGCUAUACAAUGGCAAUACAGUAGCAAUACACAAGCAAUAAAAGGCUAUACAAUGGCAAUACACAAACUUCAUACUCCCCCUAUAAAUUUAUUUCAACAUACUUUAAAAAAAAGAUAUACAGGGGCAAUACACAAGCAAUAAGUAGCUAUACAUGUGCAAUACAUAUCAGUCAUGGCAUUUGCCAAUUAAAUCAUUAAUUUGGUUACAUUUGUAUUUUUUUCUUCUUUGCAAGGGGGACGAUAAAACCAUGGAAACUAUAGAUUGACAAAUUUCCUUCUAACUUGACUUUCAUAAAUUGAUGAACUAACAAUGUUAUCUCAUUACAUCUUAAGAUAUACAUAAGAAAGUGGCAAAAAAUAAAAAAUUUACAUCUCCUGUUGGUCUGGAAUUUUAACACAAUUUAUAUCUAUAAGAAAAAUUCCAAGACAUGUCCUCUUAGACCCGAAUUCAAGCUAAAAGUUAGCAAUUUCCUCCCCAAAAGAACCCCACCACUUGAAACAAGACAAUCUUCCAUAUGUAUAAAAUGGAUCAAAAAUGCAUAUUAGAAGCAAAUCAUUCAAUCACAGUGGAAACAAAAACAUAACAUUCAAUUACAACUGAAACCAAUUUCAAAACAAAAACCAAUACCGAAAUUCAUAUAGAUUGUUGGCUUUUCUAAAUGACCCAAUUCUUCAUAUGGCAAACUUUCACAAGACAGUACCAUUGCAAAAUUAAAGUUCAUAUUCAUGCACACAAUUUCAUACUACUCAAUUGCAAUUCGAAAGUAAUAAACAUGGGUGAAGUGAAUGUGUGUCUUGGCAUGCAAACAAAAAUACAAAUCAGGAAAUCAUCAAUAGUGCAUUUGGCAUUGUUCAAACAGUUAAAGAAGCACAGUAUCAGAGAAGAAGAAGAGCAAGACAAUGGAACUAGAUAAAUGCAAGAGUUAUCAACAAACCUUCAAGUUUUCCAAGAACCCUUUUCACAACACCAACACAACCUUGAGGAUUGUAGACUGCACCAAAACAAUAGAGAAAAUAAAGAUCCAACAUAUGCCAACUUUACAGUAUCAAAAGUAUGUUAAAAUAUUGGCAUUCUCAUAAAACUUACAAACUCUCCAAUCACAUUCAAAAGAAGUAAACAAUGAGAAUCUUGCAUUUGUUGCUGGUCUAUUGGUUUCAAAGGUUAAAACCCACAUUACUGUUAUUUCAGAGAGCCUCUAUGAGUUUUAUAUGUAUUCUUACAGGUUGCUCAGAAAAGCCAGAAUUCCUAAUUUGAUAUAUCACCUAAGUGAUUUCACAGACAAAUCACAAUCACAAAAGAGUGAAUACACCACUUUCAAGGAGGUCUGCAAGUCCAAGCCUUAAUCACAAACAAUGUAUGCAUGAUUUCAGAGACAAAUCAUAAGCACAAAACAGUGUAUCCAAGUCCAAGAGCUUGACAACCACAGGAAAUAGUUGGUAAAUUUCAUUCAAUCACAGAAACAACAAACAAACCACAGCAGAAACCCAUUAAUGUCUCAUUCAAAAUAGUGAAAGUAAUCACCCAAUAAUCUCAAUCAAUAACAGAAACCCAAAAAAAAAACAAAACAAAACCAAUAUUAGAACUCACCACAGUGAAGAUCGAAGAUGAAGGUGUUGUGGGUUUGUGAUGGAAGUCGACGACGAAGGUGGAGAGUCACGAUUAUGGCUUCAUUUUGGAGGCCGACAACAGAGGUGGCGAGUCACGCCUUGGCUAGGGUUCGAUUCUGAAUUUGGGGUUCAACCUUAAGGUUCAAAUUAGCUCCUAGUUUGAAGAUAUAACUAAGUGAAAAUUGAAUUAAGCGAGAUUCUACGGUGGAGAUGGAUUUUCUGUGAGGUUUGAAGAAGAGGAAGAGAAAGAGACUAGGGAGAAGAGGAAGAGGAAGAGGAAGAGCAACGACUGAGAAGAAGAAAAAAAGUGACAGAUGGGCAAUAGACUGUCAAUAGGGAGUUUUUAUAGGGGGUAUUUGUGAUUAGAUUUCAAAAUGGGGAUAUUAUUGAAAAACUUAAUUGCGCCGGGACAAAGCCGCCAAUUUCCCUAAAAUAUUAGCUACGGAUCUCCGUCGGCCACGGGGAUUAUGUGUAAUUGUGUUUCAGCCACAAUUGCACCGUGACUUAUGUAUUUGAGGCCACAUGUGCAUAAAAAUCAAGAAAAAGAAUAAGACAAACACUACCGAAGACUUAAAAUCAAGAAAAAGGAUUCUUAGUUAUUUAUGUUCCACUUUGCUACUUCAUCUAAGUCUAAGUCGUUUUGUCGUGAUUGAUCAACUGACUUUUCUUUUUGUCGAAAAUUUGACCAUUUAUCAACCAAUGAUUAACUUGUAGAUUAGUUCUUUAUGUUGCUAGACUUCUUUUUUGGACAUUAUCCUCAGUCAGAGAGCCAAAACAGGACACAUUGAAGUAGCUAAAACAGGCCCAUGGUAGCUCAGUUUUGCUUUAUAAAAAAUCUGCAUUUGCAAUGCGCACACAAAAGCUUAGAUGGAUUCCACAGAAGUAGCUACUAAGACACAUGCUGUUUGCAUUCCAUUCCCUGCUCAAAGCCAUAUAAAGGCAAUGCUUAAAUUUGCAAAGCUCCUCCACCAUAGAGGUUUUCAUAUAACCUUUGUUAACACAGAGUUCAAUCACAAGCGCUUUCUUAAAACUCUAGGAUCCAAUUCCCUAGACGGCUUGCCUGAUUUUCAAUUUUAAGCCAUCCCGGAUAGCCUUCCAGAUUCAAAUGAAGACACCACACAAGAUGUCACUUUGCUUUGUGAGUCCGUCAGAAAAAAUUUAUUGGCUCCCUUUCAUACCCUCCUUGCAAAACUCAACAAUGAUGCCAUAGAAACAUCUACCAAUCCUCCAGUGACUUGCAUAGUUUCAGAUGGUUUCUUGUCCACGUUCACAAUCACAGCUGCUGAAGAAAUUGGAGCCCCUAUAGUGAUGUUCUACACUGUAGCUGCCUGCAGCUUCAUGGGAUGUAAACAAUUUUGCGCCGUGGUCGAAAAAGGACUUGCUCCACUCAAAGGUGAAAUAUAUAACUAUUAAUUGAAGCUAUUGUUGUUUAACUUAUGGUUAACUCUUAACUGCUUGUUGCAAAUGAAACGUUUCUUCAAUUGAAUUUCAUUUGUACUAUUGCAGAUGAGAGCUGUUUAACAAAUGGCUAUCUGGACACCGUAAUAGAUUGGAUCCCAGGAUGAGAGACAUCCGUUUAAGGGAUCUUCCGACCUUUGUGCGAACCACAAAUCCGGAUGACAUCGUAUUUAACUUCAUCCUGGAAGCAACCGAUAGAGCUCAUGAAGCUUCAGCAAUCGUUAUUCAUACUUUUCAGACAGAUGUUUUGGAUGCUCUCUCAUUUAUGCUUCCCCAUGUUUACUCCAUUGGACCUCUUCAAUUGCAUCUCAAUGAAAUACCAGAACACCAUUUGAAAAUGGUGGGAUACAGUCUAUGGAAAGAAGAAACUGAAUGCGUCGAGUGGCUAAACACGAAGACAACCAAACUCAGUUGUCUAUGUGAAUUUCGGCAGUAUAGCAGUCAUGAGUCAUGACACCAGAACAGCUUGUGGAGUUUGGGUGGGGACUUGCUAAUAGCAAGCUUCCAUUCUUUUGGGUAAUUAGACCUGAUCUUGUUAUUGGAGAAUCUGCUAUUUUGCCGCCUGAGUUUGUGGCUGAAACUAAGGAAAGAAGUCUAAUAGCUGGGUGGUGCCCACAAGAGCAAGUCCUUAACCACCCAUCAGUCGGAGGAUUUUUAACGCACAGCGGUUGGAAUUCAGCUGUUGAGAGCCUUACUGCAGGAGUUCCUAUGCUCUGUUGGCCAUUCUUCGCAGACCAGCAAAUGGACUGUCGCUAUACUUGCCACGAAUGGGGCAUUGGCAUGGAUAUAAAGUAAUGAUGUGAAGAGGGAUGCGGUAGAGAAGCUUGUCAAAGAGUUAAUGGAGGGAGCGAAGGGUAAGAAGAUGAAAAAUAAGGUCAUGGAGUGGGAGAAACUUGCAGAAGAAGCUACAGGUCCGCAUGGUUCGUCAUCCACAAACCUAGAGAAUUUAGUGAACCAAGUGUUAUUAAGAAAAAGAUGAAGAUUUUACCAUAAGAAUAUUGAUGUUAAUUAUCAUUUUCAUUAAGCUCAUAUUAUAUAUUGAUGUCUUCCAAUGACUGCUAAAUCCAGAAUGUUUUAGAAUCCUCUUAAUUACUUGACGCAUUUGACAUCUGCUUAAGGUUUCAACUCAAAAUUCUCAUCAGUCAUCAAAUUAUACACGCUUUCUUCUGCCAAUUGUGCAUUAUAAUAUAUUAAAUCAAUAGAUUAAAAAAAUAAAGUUAGACCAUUUUCAACAAAGAAAUUAUGUGGAAGUUUCUUUAAUGCUUAAUCUGAAAGAAAGAAAACACAAACAAGGUUAAAGAAAAGAGAAAAUCCAAAUCCUACUUGUUUCCUCGUCUUCCAAAGCCAAAUUCAAACCCCACUCAAAUCCGUUAGAAAGUUUCUAAUUGUUUAUUUCAUUUCAUACUACAUACAAAGAUAACAACAGCUUGAGUAAAAAAGAAAAAAAAAAUGAUACUUUUACUUAGAUGCUCCAUUUCAAACCAUAGACACUCCUCUAACGUGAGCUUGAUUAGGGACAAAACCACUUGAAUUAAAGAGUUAUUUCACCAUACUGUUCUUUUUAGUCAUUAUACACAGCUCACAACACUUUCACACAAAAAUUUACCAAACACUCAAAAACUAAUUAUUGUACCAACAUCACUUUUAAUAAAAAAUUUGCCAAACGCCAAACUACUUUUUUUCACAAACUAAUUUCUCUAACAGUAAAUUUGACGGUGAUUAUUUUCACAUCACAACAAUGCCAACCUAGCCUUGUUUUAGAUUCUUAUUUCAAUUCCUACUUCGUUUAGGAUUCGUAUUUUAAUCUUAUUUCCUACCCACUAUAAAUAAGGCUUUUAGGAAGUCAUAUUAUUAUUUAUGGCAAGCCAGGUGAUGUUGAGGGAUUAAGCCCUCUUCAAUUAUACACCAAGCGAAUAAGAACCAUUGCUAAAUGAAGCAAGGUAAUUACAUAAUAUUACAAAUGAAACUAAGCUCUAGUUAUCUCCAUGUGCUCAAAAAUAAAACCCGAUCGAAUGCAUCUUCAUCGUUUAAUGAAUAUGGCGCUUUGCAGUUCAAAUAUCCUUUAUAUGAGAGAGCUUCCAUUGAGUGAUUCCUCCAAUAAGUUAUUUGAGGGACACCCUUGUAGGGUCCACUUCACAUUGUAUUUCACUAAUGAAGAAUAAGGCCAUGGAGUGGAAAGCAUUGGCAGAGCAAGCAACCGGUCCACACGAUUCUUCGUCCACAAACUUAGACAAUUUAGCUAAUCAAAUGCAAUCAAGAAAACUCUAGAUGUUCUCUGCAUCCACAAACUUAACAAGAUCAUGCACUGCAAGCCUAGAAGUUAUUGGUUCAAUGAACUCGCAACAUGUUUACCAUCUUCAAUUUUUGUUCAACUACAAGUUUUAAAUUGAUCUUAGUGUUCCAAUAUCUGUUAUGGUUUUAAGAUCUAAUAUUAAUCACUGAAAGAUACACGAUAAGAUUGAAUUUGAAGAAUACCAACAAGAACAUAGGAACAAUUUUUUUUUUUUUUUAAUAUAUCCUGCGAAACCUCACCAUUACCUCUCUCUCUCUCUCUCUCUCUCUCUCUCUCUCUCUCUCUCUCUCUCUUUCUAACAUCUUAAUGGCUUACAAGAUUUAGCUUUUAUUCAUUAUGAUUCGUAAUAACAUUAAAAAAUAUAUGGCAAAAGAUAGUUUGCUUGAAGUUCAUUGUGUGUGUGAGGGUCGAGAGUUAUAAUCCAUGUAUAACUGUAACAACCCAAAAAAUAAGCAGUAAAAAAAAAAAAGAAAAAAAAAAGUUAGGGAUGGAGAAGAAAAAGAAUCAAAAACCUGUAAAGCUUUAGAAGAAAGAGGAGGAGGAUGGGAAAGUCAUUAACUGAAGAAUUCUAGAGGAUAGAGAACGACGAAAUAGGAAGAUUUGAUAAAACAUUGAUUGAGGAUAGAGAAAUAAGAAAGAGAAAGUAAAUUAAUAAUUAUUUUCAAUAUAUAUUUUUCUUAAAUAAAAUGUACAAUUAGUUUAGUUAAUCUUAGCCAUUCAAUCCAUUUCAAUCUAAUAGUUGAAAACUUGUGUCAAAAAUAUUGUGCCACAAAAGAUUAUUUUGAUCAAAACAAACAAAAUUGAAAAAUAGGCUUUUGAAUUCUCCUUUUAGAAAUAAAGGAAAGUUUUAGUUCGUAACAUUCAGUUAAAUCAAUUGUUUGUUAAAGGAUUAUUUUGUUUUUUCCCUACUGUAUUUACUUGCUUUUUUUCCCUACUGGAUAUGUGUGUCAAUGUUUAUAUGCAGUAGACAAUAUAUAUGUUGUUCAAAUUUUCUGUACAACUAAUAAUCAUCAAAGUUUUCUUUAGAUGUGUACCAUAAUCUCCUUAAGUUUAUGCUUUCUCCGUAUAUUAUGUGUUGGGACGUUAAAAGUAAGCAAAAUGUCAUAGCAAAAUACUAGAUAUUAAACUCCCAACUAUAAGUUUUAAUUAAAAAUUAAUUUCAGUAUAUAUGCAUUUAAUUUGGAUGAAUUAAAUUCUUAUUUUUCGAACAUUUUUCUUCUCAACUGAAGCUCACACGAUUUGAAAUGAGGAGGAGAAGGGAAGGAAAAAUAAAGCUCCAAUAAAUAUAGAAAAUCCCUAUAUUCUAUUUAAAGCUUCCAUUAGACAGAUGUUGGAUACAUCCAUCUCGAGAGAAGGACAUUGCAUUUAUAGAGUUCCUGUCUAUCUACAAUGCAAAAGCACAGAUGUCUACACGCCUUCAGUAAUAUCCAUUGGCCCAGUCCAUCAUGGCACAGGCUGGAGGGGUCCCUAGGCCCGGGGAGCAAGUCCAGCGCGCAACAUCCAGCUCGGGCAAGGCUUGGGACCCACGAGCUCGGGCAAGCCCAAGGGGAGAUCUAGCUUGUCACCUUGCUUUCCAGCUCCUGACAUCAGCGCUGACCCACAGCUGCCAGAAACCAUCGGCUACAAACCACGUGGCUUCUCCUGGAGCCUCCAAUCUAAACAUGUUGUCAAAUCCAACGGCAGCUGUCUAUUUUGUGGCUAAAAAAAUUGAAAAACUUUGUCAAAAAUAUCAAAAAAUUAUGGAAAUUUUUUCUAUAAAUACCUACCAAUAUUAUUCACUUUCCACACUAAAUCUUAAUACAAAUUCAUCUCCUUCCAAUAUUUUUCACUUUCCACACAAUUUUCUACUACUAAAUUCCAUUUGUGUAAAAAUACAAAUGACAUCUUCCAUCGAAGCCAGAGGUGGAUGGACAACCGUGGAAGAUAUUUUGUUAUGUGAGUGUUGGGUCAAAGUUGGUCAUCUCUCGAUCACAGGCAAUGAGAUGAAGUCGUCUCAUAUGUGGAGAAAAAUUCAGGGGAAAUUUUGUGAAAGAUCGGGUUCAGCUCGUACAGAAAAUGGCAUUGGCUAGUAGGUGGAAAAUUUUGAAAAAAGAGUUAGGGAAAUGGAGAGAUGAGUUGGCAAAAGUGAGGGACACCAUUCGAAGCGGUCAAAAUCUUGCCGACGAGGUAAAAUAUUUAUAAAUGUUGUUUUAUUCAAUUUAAUGUCACAUUUUUUUAUAAUAUUUUCUUGCAUUUCCUUUUUUUUCUUGCAUUUUCUUUUUUUUUUUAAUAGAUUAUUCAAGCACAAAUGUGAUUAGGUGCCAUUGGCCAAGGCAAAAAAAAGUUUCAUCAAUCACAAAUGUUGGGACAUUGUGAAGAAUUGUUCGAGAUUCAAAAUUAUUUAUAUUAGUCCGAAGAUUGUGUUGAAUGAGACGCCACUCCACGAUUCACCGGCAACUGAUUCGCCAUUGGACUCCCCAAUGGAUCAAGACUCACUAAUCUAACGUGAGCCGAGGCCUAUUGGGAGAAAGGCGGAAAAAGCCAAGAGAGCACUUCGAACACUUAAUGUGCAAAAAUUUUGGAGCAAAUUGCUAAGAAUAGCGUACUGAGAAUUGAGAGAGACUUGAAAAGAGAAGAAGCUGAAAAGGCAUGAUAUAAAACAUACGCAAUUGAAAGGCAGCAUGCACAAGAACAAGACAUGGAGGACAGAGAAAUGAAAAUCAUAGCCAUGGACAAGAGCCAUAUGUCUCCUAAAAGAAAGUCCUCUAAAACAAAGGGAUGUUAUGAGAAGAAAGCUUUUCCAUGACGAUGGGCCUAGCAACACAGAUUGGUUAAAUGAUCAAAACCAUUAGGUUGUAUUGAAAGAGUUGCCAUAUAUAUAUAUAUAUAUUAAUUUGUUGUAUUGUUUCUUUUUUAUUGAAUACAGAAAGCAUCAAAUAAUAUAGUUAUUUAUUAAAAACAUUUCAUACAUCAAAACAAACCUUAAUUCAUUAUAACCACACACAAAACAAAGCAUAAUUAAAAACAAAGCAUUAAACUUGGUUUCAUCCACCCUGAUUACCUUUCAUCUCCCAUAAGUGCUCGAUCAAGUCAACUUAACAUCUCUCAUGAACAUAAGAACAUUGCAUUUCCUGAUAAUGGUCAAUCAUAGGGUUGUUGUAUUGACCGUCCCUAAUCAACGGUAUAUUCUCCAGUGGUUGUCCAUUUGCUCUCACGGACCGUUCAUAAAUACUUGUCAAUGUCGUGUUCAUGGGAUUGGGUUCGAACAUCUCUAGGGCAUCAUAAUCAUACUCAUCCUCCACAAUAAUGUUAUGGAGGAUGAUGCAAGUCAUCAUAAUGCUUCGAAGCACCUCUUCAUCAAACAUACGAGCAGCACCCCUAAUCAUUGCCCAACAAGCUUGCAAGAUACCAAAACACCUUUCCACAUCUUUCAUAUAACCCUCUUGAAGGGCACCAAAGCUUUUUUCCUUCUCCAAUUGGGGAUUCGGAAUUGUUUUGAUGAAUGUUGUCCACUUCGGAUAAAUUUCGUCGGUUAGGUAGUACACACCCGAGUGUACAGUAUUGUUGAUUUGAUACGUGAUCUGGGGGAAAUGACCUCUCAAGACAUCGUUGAAUACCGGGGAUUGACCAAGCACAUUGAGAUCAUUUUGAUAUCCAGAAACUCCGAAAAAGGCAUGCCAAACCCAAGUAUCGAAUGAUGCAACGACCUCUAGAAUUAUAUUUUUUUGGCCCUUCAUAUUCCCAUAAUCUCCUUGCCAAGCAGUUGGGCAAUUCUUCCACUGCCAGUACAUGCAGUCGAUGCUUCCAAUCAUGUUUGGGAAACCUCGAGCCUCGGCUUUUCGUUGGAGCCUUCAGAGGUCCCUAAGCGUAGGUUUGCGAAGGUAAUCCCUCAUGUAGAGAGUUUCUAUUGCAUCACAGAAUCUGACCAAGCACUCUAAGAUAGUUGAUUUCCCUAUCCUAGCAAUCUCAUCCACCUGAUUUGCAGAUGCCCUAUAUGCAAGGAUCCGUAAAGCAGCUGUAAGUUUUUGCUCCGAAAGAAGACCCAAACCCCAAGAGCAUCGUACUUCUGAACGAAGUAUGUGUCGUAAUUGCAAACAUCAUGCAUUAUUUUUUGGAACAAAUUGAGCUGCAUUCUAUAUCUCCCUCUAAAAUAAGAAACAGGAUAUAACAAUUUUGGGAUAAAGUAAUCUUCCAAAAGAUUCUUACUCCGAGAGUGCCUAUGUCUAUCCACAUUCGGGGCACGACCACAAUGGUGUUGCCUUGAUUGAUUUAGCAUACCCACCACUAAAACAACUUCUUCCUCCUCUUCAUCCAACUAGCGAUCUUCUUCAGCACGUCUGCGCUUGAUUUCUUCAUCUUCCUAAUGUUGCCUCUCCAACACCCUUCUCAGGUUAGACAUUGAGAGUAAAAUGUUUGUUUGUAAGAUCUGAUAAAUGAAAGGAUAGAGAAUAGUGACAAACCUUGCCUUUUCCUUGCCCUUAACCUUUGGGGUGGAAGUGCAUCCUCGCGCUUUUUGGGUUUCUUUCAACAAAACAAAUCGUCUUCUCACGUUUCUUCUUCUUCUCCCACUGCAUCUCCAAAUUUUAGUCUCAAUUAGAGAAGUUGAUUGCUAAGAAAGGCAACCCACUCAUACCCUAUGGCUCCGUUUGGUAGGCUGAUUGAUUAGGAUUGAGUUUGGAAUGUUGGACUAGAGUUAAGUCUAGUCCAUUGUUUAGUACGAGGCCACAGUGGACAACAUUGGACUCAAUUUUUUUUUUUAAUUCUAAAUUAAUUUAUUGUUUAUUAGAUCAUUUAACAUCAUAAAAAAAAUUAAUUAAAAACACAUCAAAUUACAAAACCAGUAUUUAAAAGAUAUGAUUUAAAAAUUUAUUCAUUUUUUCUGUUUUAAUAUAAAAAUAUCAUUUUAUCCCUGCAUUUAACAGAAAAAGUUAAUAAAAUUGAUGGUAGGACCAUUUGUCCUAACGAAAGUGUAGUUAAAGGACCAUGAGAACCAUAUUGAAAAUUGAGGUACUCAAUGCAAAUCGAAUCUAAGUUUAGAGACUAAUAAAAUGAUUAACCCAAACAAUUAUAUAACCAAUACAUCCAACGAGAUUGAGACUUCAAUAAAAUAAAAAAUAAAAAAGAGAUUGGGUCAUGAACACUCAGGGAAAAAAAAACUACAAUAUGAUGAACUGCAAUUUGGCUACUUUGCCAACUUUUGGUUCCCUAAUGUUGUGUUGUGUUUUGUGGGUUUUUGCCUUGUCUGGGUUUUUUGCUGUUAUGUGGUCUUUUGGCCUCCAUGUGGGCUUUAUGCCUUUAUAUGUGCUUUAUGCACUUUGUUAGUCUUAUUUGUAGUGAGCUCUAUGUCUGUUUGUAUUGCAUUUUGUAUGAACGUAAUUAUUUAAGUUCAUUUUGAUGUAAUCUGGCUUUGACCUUCUAUUCAAUGAAACUCGAUUUCGAACAAAUAUAUAUAUACACACACAAAAUAGGAGAGCUUCAUUCAUCCUUAGUCCAUGGCUUUUUGGCUGCGUCGAAUUUCAAAAUCUUUAAUUCCCAUACCCAUCAAUCAGGAAACCCGACUGAUCAAUACAGACUCAGCACCAAAAGAUGUUGCCAAAGCCAUCCGUGACUCAUUCAGAAGCAGUUGGAAUUGGGACACUCUGACGACCAAAUUUGAAUCUGUUAAAUUAGAUGGAGGGCUCGUCGAUAGUGUUUUGUUAGAAUUGAAGGAACCCAUUGAUGCAAAACGUGCUCUGGGUUUCUUCCACUGGGCAGCUCACAGGAAAAGCUUUGAGCAUGGGGUUUGGUCCUACUCCAUAACCAUUCAUAUUUUAGCCAGAGCCAGGUUGCUCAUGGAUGCUAGAGCUUUGCUUGAAUCAGUUCUGAAGAAAACUGCUGAAAAUGGUUCCAAAUUUUCAGUUGUGGAUUCAUUGCUUAGUAGUUAUGAGGUUACUGCUUCAAACCCAUUUGUGUUUGAUUUGCUGUUACAGGCUUAUGCUAAGCUGAGAAUGUUUGAGACUGGUUUUGAUGUUUGUUGCUAUUUGGGGGAACAUGGGUUGCCUUUAAGUCUUAUAACUUACAACACUCUGCUUCACGUGGUUCAAAAAUCUGACCAGACUGCUCUGGUUUGGAAGAUUUAUGAGCAUAUGGUUGGAAAAAGAAAUUACCCAAAUGAAGAGACAAUCAAAAUCUUGAUUGAUGCUUUGUGCAAGGAAGGGAAGUUGAAGAAAUGCGUUGACAUGUUGGACAGGAUCCAUGGGAAGAGGUGCUCUCCUUCUGUGAUUGUGAAUACUAGUCUAGUUUUUAGUAUUUUGGAGGGGGGUAGGGUUGAAGAAGGUUUGAUGUUGUUGAGGAGAAUGUUGCAGAAGAAUAUGGUUCUUGAUACAAUUGCUUACUCAUUGAUUGUUUAUGCUAAAGUUAAACUAGGAGAUGUAUGCUCAGCAUGGGAGGUGUACGAAGAAAUGCUCAAGAGAGGUUUUCGAGCAAACUCUUUUGUCUAUACCUUGUUUAUGGGAGCACAUUGUGAGGAAGGAAGAAUGGAGGAAGCACAAGGCAUGAUGAAUGAGAUGGAAAAUAUGGAUUUGAAGCCGUUUGAUGAGAGCUAUAAUCUUCUUAUUGAGGGAUGCGCUAAAGCAGGAAGAGUGGAAGCAAGCUUGAGUUACUUGAAGAAGAUGGUGGAGAGCGGGUUCAUCCCAUGUCGUUCGGCCUUCAAUGAGAUGGUCGGAAAGUUAUGUGAAACAGGGGAUGCAGAGCAAGCAAAUACAAUGUUUACUAUACUGUUAGAUAAAGGGUUCUUGCCGGACAGCACCACAUACGGUCAUCUGAUUGACGGGUAUGGGAGAAAAGGUGAGAUUCAGGAGGUUGUGAAACUCUAUUAUGAGAUGGAGUCCAGGUCGCUUUCUCCAGGAGCAUUGGUUUUUACAUCCGUGAUAAAGAGCUUCUGCCAAUGUGGGAAAGUGGAGGAAGCAGAAAGGUAUUUUGGAAUCAUGAAAGAUCGUUCAAUAGCCCCAAGUUUAUGUGUAUACGAGACAUUGAUUGCCAACCACUUUGACAAGGGCAAUGCAGAAAGGGCCCUUCACCUUAAGAAUGAAAUGGAACUUAGCGCAUCGAUUUAAAUCAAUGAACUCUCAUUUGAAUUGUCUUGUAAUUCACUUUUAAGUGGGUUGGAACGAUCAUGGAAAGAUGAACAGCAACGAGAAGCACUUUGGAACCAAUUGUCUUGUAACUCAUCUGUCAUCACAGCAUGCCCCUCAAAUAUCAAGGCUCCAUUUGGAUGGAGGUAUUUGAAAUAAAGUACUUGAAUUUGACAAUAGGGUAAAUUUGAAUAUAUUUGAAACAAUUAUCUAAAAAAGAAUAUAUUUGAAACAACUAUAUGCACGGAAUCAUUUGAAAUUCAUUUAUUUUAUUCUUCUGAUACAUGGACUGUAAUAGUAUAAAUAAACAAUGUAAACAUAUUGUCAACUGGAUUCAAACAUUUGGAAUCACUUCAUCUGAAUCCCUAAGAUGUAAUGGGAAAUGAGUGUUACAGAGAACUAUGAGAAAAGUUUUGUUCUUGUACAUCACUACUAUAGCUAAACCAACCACUUCUGGAGUCUUGAAGCUCAUUUCCUAUGGUGAAUCCAUAUUUGCCCCUGCGACACAAGUAUGGAAAUGAACAAAAGAUUUUCAGUUUCAUUUCUACAAAUAAAUAAAACAAAAUGAAACUUAUCAUAAAUCUAUUUUUUUAUUUUGGUCGGAAGCUUAUCAUAAAUCUAUUUAAAUAUGAAAACUGAAGACUAAAAAAAAAUUCAAGAAAAACCUUACGAGACAAGGGUGCAAGUGAUGAAAACAACCACGCUGGCAGGGGAGGACAAUCCACCAUUUCCUCAACAAAUUACAUGCAAUCAGUUAGCAAAAUCAUUGAUGAAAAUAAAGAAUAAAGGAUGAUCAACCUACAAUAGAAAAAAUUCAUUCCCCAAAAAUUUGGCCAUGACUAGUACAAGAGCCAGGAAUAAAUGACAUGAGGUACUUAUUAAAAGCCAAAGGUAAAAAGGAAAAAGCAAUGACAACGUCUCAGGAAUUCACAACAGGAUUCUUUUGACUCCUUGAUUUCCUUACAAAGCCAAUCUAACAGAAACACCCAAAAUGAGUGAGAGAUGUGAGUAGUACGAGGCUAGCCAAUAUAUAACAUCAAGGACUUGUAUCUAUGAGCCCAGCUACCACAUCUAACAAGAAGGGUAUGUUUGGAUGUGCUUUUGAUAUAUUGAAAGAAACUUUUAGAUACCUAAAACGGUUAAUCUUCGGCAAAAAUAGAUAAGAAUUCUUUUUGGAGAAACUUUUAGUGCUUCCUGAUCAAGAAACAAUAAUAGGUUCCUUAUCCGAAAGCAUUGUCAAGUGAAUCUGCAAAACCACUUGAGCAUUUGAGGAAACUUUCUAUGUGCCUCUAACAAAAGGUGCUACUGAGCAAAAGUUCUUAAACAUAAGCACUUCAAAACAUUCCCAAAAAUUUGCUGUUUCCUAUUGAGUACCUAGCUCUAGAAGGACAAAAGGAAAGUCAAAUCAUGGAAAAAAAAAUUAGCAGAUAAAUAUUUGGCACGAAAACAUUAUUAUGUUCGGAAAUACUACAGUAUAAUGGUGACAAAAAAACGCAUAACAAAUCCUGCCUAAUAUUUAUACUAUCUUUGAAUAAUUUCCAGGCUGAAACAAACUGACAUGACAAAACUAAAACCACAAAAAUUCAUCUAACAAAACAAUGUAAGCUCAUAUGUGCGGUGAUCGAAGCAACUUCUUCCGACUCCUUUUAGUCAAAGUACAAGCUAAGCAUUUGUAUUCAACACAGGGACCAUCAAACAAUGGUAGAACUAUUAAAACCUUAUUCAGUCAUGCACCAAAAAUACAGCAACAAUUUUUAACAUUCAAGAAAGUCUAGAAAGAGAUUUGAGUGGAUUUACCUUCUUUACCUCUCCUAUCUACAGUUGUCUCAUGCUUAAUAUUCUCAUUCAAUAACGUAAGGUAACGGGUGAAGCAAGGCUCUCCCUGUACAUCCCAGCUCUACCAACUUUGGGAAAUCCAUAAAUUGAAAGAUUCUGACUGCUUCGUAAAAAUUGUGCAUAAUCAACAGGUCAUUGCACAACAACGGGAGUUAGAAAUGCAUGAUUACGAUUUGGAAACUCAUCCACAUUCAAAGAGUAGAGUGAAUUGUGUUCCAAUUUAGAGAAUUGCAUGGUUUAGAUCCACACCUGAAGCGGCAUAACAACAACUGGCAGCCCAUCACCUAUUAUCUCCUUUGGGAAGUUAGGGUUUCCAUCAGCUGCUCCCUCAUUUUUUUCCAGCCACAUUUCCUCGGGAACAACUAGAAAGUGUGGCCUGCGUGUCUUAACAAAAUGUAAGUUGUGUGUUAAUGCUGAGUCAGACUCCGGGCAGAACUCGUCAGGACUUGACUUGCAGUUGUUUUUGGAGCUGGGCCAGUCAAACUUGGGCCUUCAGGUAUGACACUUGAUAAUCCAAUUGCCCUUGCAAAUAAAAACAAUUUCCGUUAUUGUGGACUCCAAAACGAUAUGCCUAGAAGAAAAAAAAAAAUUAUGGCACAUUUAUGUUUUUUGAAAUGGGGAAAGUAAUGAAUCAGGGAAAUCAUGAAUAGGCGAGAAGGAAUGGGCGUGAGAUCAACUAUUUCCCCUUAUCAGAAGGCAUUAGCAAAUACAAGGGAAGUCAGGAAUCGGAAUAAUUUCAAUACUCAUUAACAAGUAAACAUACCAUGCAAAUCAAACUUCUAGAAAGAGUAAAGCAUCCCAAAAGAAAGGGAAAGAAAUAAAAGAAAUUCUCGACUUAGAUAGUAAUUUUCAUCCGAGUACUAUUUUAGUCCCUUUACUUAUUCACCACCAAAUGAUGUGAAAGUAUUUCGUUUAUUCAAAUACGAGGCCACUUUAAAUGUAAUUUAUUCUGAAUAAGUAGGUGUAGCCGAGAGAUUGUUACACCAUUCCAAGAAUACUUUCAUAGCGUGUGUAAGACAGACUCUGUAUAAUUAGCCCUAUUCAAGGCUAGCAAAAAUUUCGGUUCUUACGGGAUUCAGUUCAAUACCAAUGCUUUAUUUAAGCACCAGCAAUUUUACAAAAUUGCAAAGGGGAGGCCUAAUGCCUUAUUUGAACUCACGGGUUGGGGGUGGGCUAAUUCUCUCAACAGUUAUGCUAACUUAAAAUUUAAACAAGCAUCGUAAUCAAGGAUACUGCAGCAAUUAACAUCCUAUAAACUUUCAUUUGAAUUGUCUAGCAAUUUCUUUAAGGAUGUUAAAGCAGAUGAAGAAAACAUCAACAUAACCUAGGAGUGCUUUGGAACCAAUUGAUUUGCCAUCAUUCCAAAAUGAAACUGAUCUAUCAACGAAGAUUUCACAAAGGACACCUAACACAUUGUUCAAAACAUAAAGAUGCAACGGGAAGAGACAGACAGAACCGCUGGAAAAUCUUUGUACCGGUACAUCCUACGAUAGCCAGCCAAACCAACCAAUUUUUGGGUCUUCAAGAUAAUUUCUUCUAGAACCAGAAAAGGAACCUAAUGUCUUCUGGAGAAAACAGAUCUGCCCCUGUGACACAAGGAUGGCAUUACGUAAAGAUUUCAAGCAGCCAUUUCUAUAAAAUGAAAAAAAUUCAUAAAAUACCAGUAUUCAUAUCUUUACAAAGUUCAUAACUGAAUCAUAAAUGCAUUUAAUUUGUAAACCGAAGACAAACAAUAAAAGCAUGGAAAACUUAUGAGAAGGGGCCACAUAUGACAGAAACAACGGGGAAAAAGGGGGCAACAAGCCACAAUUUCUUUGAAAAAUAACAUUCAAUCAGUUAGCAAAAUCAUUAAUGAAAACCAAGCAUAAGAGAAAAUUAUCACUGUAACAAUGUUGGAAAGUCAACCCCAGUAAAUAUGACUCAUAGAAGAACCAGGAAUAAUCAAUCACAUUAGCCACUUAUUAAAAGCCAACAGAAUAAAAGGAAAUGGAAACAUAUUAGGAACUCAGAACCAAGCUCUCUUGACUCCUUGAUUUUCUUACAAAACCAAUCUAACAAACAGAAGCAUCCAAAAGCAGUGAUAUACUAGUUCUAUAGACUCAUUAAUCAUAUAAUUCAUCGACUUGUAUCUACACACCCAACUACCGUGUCUAACAAGGAGGAUGUAUUUGGAAGUGCUUUAAAUGUGUCAAAAAUAAUUUAGAUAACCAAUCUGCCUUUAUUAACAAUUGGAAGAAAUAGACAGAAUGCUAUUUCAGUUAGAGAAACAAUUUCUGUGCUACAUGAAGAAGCACCUAACAGGUGCUUUCUUCAAAAGCGUUAAUGAGGACGAAACAAUGCCUACGAAAUCCUACCUGUCCUAUGGUCUCGCUAAAUCCAAUUAAAACGAACAUGCACGCUGCUCUGAAUCAUUCCAUGGGUGAAGGAGACACAUAGGAUAAAACUAUACUGCGAAUGCAGCACACAAAUUCUUGUUAUUAAAAACAAAACAAAAAGAGGAAAAAAAAAAUAGACUCUGAUAUUAAGAAAGCUUAAGCUCGGCAUCUUAAACAAGCACCAUCAACCAAAAACUACUAUAAAUAAAAAAACUUGUGUCCAACAAGCGUGUACUGCUUUCAGUUGUGCCAAAAGUGCUUUAAAUAUAUAUGUAAAAAAGUAAUACUUGGAAAAAAUUAGACAACAAUGCAUUUUCAGUUGGAAAAACAAUUUCAGUGCUUCAUGAAGAAGCACAUAAUAGGAUUCUUCAAAAGCAUUUUCAGGUCAAUAUGCAAAACAUAAUUGAGUUUCAAAUGAAAUCGUUUGUCUUUUAGUGAACACGGUACUAGAUGCUCCAUAUAGAAGUACUUCAAAACAGGCACAAGCGUUUUCUGUCUCCUGAUGAGUAUCUAGCAAAGCACUACUCCACAAUGGCAAAAGGAAAGUAAAAGCACGGGAAUGUUAAGCAGAGAAAUAUUUGACAUGAAAGAUUAUAACAUUCAUGAAUCAUGACAUACAACAUAGGAACAAUGCCGAAAAAUGCAUACUUCUGCCCGUCCUAUGGUUUUGUUAACUACCCAAUAAAGUGAACGUGCAUAGUGUUCUGAAUCAUUCCAUGGGAGAAAGAGUAAGAUAGGACAAAACUACAACACAAAUGCACCACCAAAACCCUAGUUAAUAAAGAAAAAACAAGUAUAAUUUUUUUCUUCAUAAUAUCAGUUUGGUUUCCUAGUAUGGCUGCCAUUCCAUUGAUAGAAAAAGAAAAAAGAAAAACAUAUAGGCUCCAAUAUUAAGAAAGCCGAAGCUUGGCAUAUUAGAAACAAUCACCAUCAGCCAAUAAAACUAUAAAAACCUCAUGUCUGACAAAAAGGGUGUAUUUUCCAGUGCUGUUAUUGUGUCAAAACUGCUUUGAGAUAACCAAACACAGUUUUUUAAAAAAAAAUUGCCAGAAACAGACAACCAUGCUUUUUCAGUUAGAGAAACAAUUUCAAUGUUUAGUGAAGAAGCAUGUAAAGGUGCAGUCUUCAGAAGCACGCAUAGGUAGUCUUUACAAGCAUUGUCAGGUGAAUAGUUCCAAGGAAAUAUUUUAUGUGCUUUUAGCAAAAACAGUACUAAAAGCUCGAUAUAGAAGUACUUCAAAACAAGCCAGAGCUUUUAGCAGAGAACUACUGUACGAAGGCAAAAGGAAAGUAAAAGUAUGAAAACAUUUAGCAGAGAAAUAUUUGACACGAAACACUGGCACAUUCAUGACAUACAAUACAACACUAGGAAUGAUGAUGAAUUACACAUGAAAUCCUGCCUGUCCUAUGGUUUUGUUAAACACCAAAUAAAAUGAACAUGUAUACUGUUUCGGAUCAUCACAUGGGUGAAAGAGACGGAUAGGAUAAAACUAUAAUGCAAAUGCAGCACAGAAAUCCUUGUUAAAUUUUUUUUUUUAAGUAUAAUUGUUUUCUGAGCAUGCCUGCCAUUCCUUCCACAGGAGAAAAAAAAAAAAAAAAAACAUGCAAACUCUGAUAUUAAGAAAGCCUAAGCGUGGCAUAUCAAAAACAAGCACCAUGAACCAAUAAAACUAUCAAAAACUCGUCUCCAACAAGAAGCGUGUACUUUAAAGUGCUUUUAAGUGUCAAAACUGCUUUUAGAUAAACAAAGAUGUUUGUUUUUUUUUUUAGUAAUUGGAAGAAAUCGACAACAUUGCUUUUUUUGGUUAGAGAAACAAUUUCAGUGCUUCAUGAAGGAACACCUAACAUGUGCAUUCUUUAAAAGAAUUGUCAGAUCAAUGCCAAACAUAUGUGAAUUUGUAAUGAAAUCGUUACGUGCUAUUAGCAAACAAAUAACUAGAUGCUCCAUAGAGAAGUACUUCAAAACAGGGCCAAGCUUUUGCUAUCGUCUAAUGAGUAUCUAGCAAAGAACUACUGUACACAGGAAAAUGCAAAGUAAAAGUACGAAAACAUUGAGCAGAGACAUAUUUGACACGAAAACUGUUACAUUCAGGACAUACAACAACACUAGGACUGACGAUGAAAAGCACAUACAAAAUCCUGGAUGUCCUAUGGUUUUGUUAACUACCAAAUAGAUUGAACAUGUAUACUAUUCUGAAUCAUUCCAUGGGUAGAAGAGAGAUAGGAUAACACCAUAAUGCAAAUGCAGUACCAAAAAUCAUUGUUAACAAAAGCAAAAAAAAAGGUAUAAAAUGUAUUUGGUUUCUUAAUAUCAGUUUGUUUCUGAGCAUGACUGCCAUUCCAAUCAUUGAAAAAUAGAGAAUAAAUACAUGAACACUCUACUAUUAAGAAAGCCUAAGCUCAGCAUAUUAAAAAUAAACACCAUCAACCAAUAAAACCAUAAAAACCUUGUUCAAUAGUGCAUAAACAAUACCGGAAAGAAAUUCAAACAAACAAUAAAGUCUAGAAAGAGAUUGAGUGGAUUCAUCUACUUUACCUCUUCUAUCUGCAUUUGCCUUAUGCUUAAAGUUCUCGAUCAGUAAUGCCAUAGUAAUUCGGUGAAACAAGACUCUCCAAGUAGGUUCCUAUGCAAUCAACAUGGGGAAAUCCAGGGAUUGAUAGAUUGCAAAAGCCUUGUUCCUUAAAAUUGUACAUAACCAAUUGCUUCUGGAACACCAACAGAUCAUGAUUUUCCUUCCAAAAACCUGACAGUGAUAAUUCGGAAUAAGGGAUGGAGAUCUUUAUCUUAGUCCACGACUGCCCCUCUCCAUAUUCAUUCAUGACCCAAAACUCAUUAUAAGUUCUUUCAUCACUACAAUGUGUUAAACAUAGGCAGUCCCUGAAGACCCCCAACACACAAUCUCCCGCAUCACUGGAAUACUCAACCGGCAAAGGAAUUUCUCCAGCUUGCUCCUCUUCUAAAAGGAAAGCUACAAUCAUGGAUGUCUGGUCUGGUGUUUCCAUUAUCCAAUGAAGAGUUCCAUUGAGCAGGACAGCAUGAAAGGUAUAUGCCCCAGAAUAGGGAAGUGAACACUCAAGCUCUUCCCAUGAACCGGUUUUCAACGAAUAGACACAAAACACAAGCAUAUCGUAAAACACAGCAGAAACCACCUUGUAAUCAUCAGUGGAGUGAUCAAAUCCAAAACCCAGGUGUUGUAUAUUAUCUGGUGCCUCUGGCAGUUCCUCGGAUUCCCCGGUAGUUGGGUUAACCAGAUAUAUCGUCAUUGGCAUUUCAGCUAGCUUGCACAACAACAAACCAUCACAGUAAAACAGGUCUACAACCCUGUAAGAUGGUAGGUCACCGCAAACCAAUUGGGCCUCAGGGGCAAUCAAAUCAUCAGCACCAUGAUCAUUAUUCUGAUUCAGAAUUAACUGGUCGAGGUUAACAGAGUAAAGGGAACAACAACCUGGCUCAUUGAAGAUGAGUCUUCGUCUUUGGUAGAACACAUCAUCGUUCUCAGAAGUUUUGUUAAAGUGCAUUUUGAUAAAAUUAGGGUCAGCGAUGAGAGCAUUCCAUGGCUUAGAUACACACCUGAAGCGGCCCAACGACUUGACCGGCAGCCAUGAAAGAAUCUCCACUAUCAGCUCCCAUGGGAGGCUAGGGUUCCCUUUGUCCAUCAGCUGCUCCGCCAUUUUCUUGCGCAGCUUCGUUCUCUCCGGAGCAGACCAAGCGUUCCCCAUGGCCAAAAGCAGUGUUCCCUUCUUUUUCGCUGGAGAAAACCAAGCGCUCCCCCAAAACCAUCCUCUAUGACAUAAAUCUUCUUCCCCAAAAGUAAAGUAGUCUAAUUUGACGCUGGGUGGACCAAAUUUUGAGCGGCCUCUUCAAUUGCGUUGGACUCGGUUGUAGACUCGUGACUUUCAAAUUGGGCUUCCAGUUGGGCCAAAUUUGGGCCUACGUUUAUUUCUGUUGAAAGACGUGGAAACGGAUGCACUGUCCCGGUCAAUUAACCUAAUUCACAUCUGCAAGGUGUUUUUUUUAACUGAUUUAAAAAUUCUAGUAGGUUUUUCAGUUAGAUGUGAAAAACAUGUAUUCUCUAUACUCCCUUCAUAAAAGAAGAUGGUGUGUUUCGUUUUGUUUCUACUUUAGUCGUGUUACAUUUAUACAUGUAAUGAAAAAGAAAAUACAUCCAAAAAAUAUAGUAUAUAAAUGUGUUUCCUAACAUUACUCUCUAUUUGAUGAAACACACGGGAUUGAUUAAAAAAAACAAAAUUUUAUUGAAAGGAAACAAAAUUAAUUUCCUUUAUGGUGCGUUUGGAUGAGGAAAAUAAACUUGGGAUUUUGACAAAACUCAGAAUUUCUAAAUUGACAUGAACCAAUUCCGGUGUUUGGAUAAAGAAACAUAGAAAUUUAGAAAAUCCCCGUGGAAAAAAAACAUGGAAUUUGGAGAUCAUAAAUCCCAAGUUUAAAUUCUAUCUAAAAGUCGUUAUUUCUAAAAUCCCAAGAGAGAUUGAGUUUAAAAAAAAGAUAACUUUACAAAUAAAUGUUAAAUUCCGUGUUUUAAAUCAGUCACCCAAACAAGAAACUUUACAAAUUUUAAAACAUCAAUUUCCGUCAUUUAUGAAAUCCUUUGUACUUUUAAAUUUCCUCAUCCAAACACAUUGUUACGGUGCAUUUGGAUGAGAGAAAUAAACUUAGGAUUUUGACAAAACUCGGAAUUUCUAAAUUGACAUGAACCAAUUCGGAUAAAAAAAAACAUAGAAAUUUAGAAAUUCCGCGUGGAAAAAAACAUGGAAUUUGGAGAUCAUAAAUCUCAACUUUAAAUUUUAUUUAAAAGUCGUCAUUUCUAAAAUUCCGAAGAGAGAUUGAGUUUUUAAAAAAGAUAACUUUACAAAUAAAGGUUAAAUUCCGUGUUUUAAAUCCAUCACCCAAAUAAGAAACUUUACAAAUUCUAGGACAUUAAUUUCCGUCAUUUAUGAAAUCCUUUGUACUUUUAAAUUUCCUCAUCUAAACGCACUGUUAUAGAUUGUUAUUUCCCAAUUAUUAACGAAAAUGUUGUGCCAAGUGCAGGUCCCAAAAAGAAAAAAAGUUAUAUGAAAAGUUGACUAUAAAAACAAAAUACAAUGACACUUUCUGAAAGAACUUAACUCAAGAAAAGAAAAAAAAAACAAAAAUAUGAGAUUGUUUUUGUGAUGAUCCCACACAGAAGCCCACGGUGCACCAAAAUUGGUGUUUGGAACAACCAUGCCUUGUAUCUAUAAAUGGCUAAAAAGGCACUUGUCAAGGUAUAAUACCAUUCAAGAUCAUCUACAAAGUACUAAAAACCUCAUGCCAAUAAGACUUCUUUUAAGACAUUAGAAAGAUGACCAGAGGUUUUGAGGACAAACACAAAUCGGCUUUUGUUUUCUGUAAAGGAUCAAAGCGCGAUAUUGUUUAUGACUUCGUGCCUAAGCUGUGACAAAAUGUAUAUAUAAAAUCUCUCUUGAAUGGCUCAUGGUUUCUUUUUACUGCAGAAAGAGGAACAAAUGUUGGCGGUGUCUCUUAUAACGUACGUCUGUAGUUUUGGAAUGUCUUUUUUUUUCCUUAUGGAAAUGGCUGGGAGAAGAAAGAGUUUGAAUGCAUUUUCAGAGCAUUCAAGUCAAAUUUGCAUUCCCUUAUGGUUGUAUGUGAUCGUAUCUGCGUUAUUGUGCAUGCAUAUGAAGCCUAGUGAUCAUCCUUCUAUGGAAAAAGUCAUGGAUAUGCUUGAAGGAGCAAUUGAAGCCCUAAAAAUGCCUAGCAAGUCACAUGCCAAUAUGCAGAUUACGGUGCAAGGUCUGCCAUGGUUCCAAGAAUUCAGCCUCCUCCCAGAUUUGGUAUAUGAGCAGGACCAAAGUUGCAAAUUUAAUUGCUUGAAAUGAUUCGAAGUUCUGUCCUAAUUCUUGUUCACUUGUAUUACUCUGCAGCAGCAACUGAGGGGCUAGUUUGAUCUAAUAUGGUUUUCCCUAAUUUUGGAAUUGUAGCAUGUAGAUUGGUAUUAUUGGGUUAGUGAUACAGUUGGUCCAUUAUUUUUCCAUUAGUUUUCCAUUAAUGGUGUGUUGCUUAAAUCCUGGUUUUCAAGUUUACAUUGGAGGUUUUUUUGCCCCAGUUUCUUUCAAGUUUACAUUGAACUUGGAUGUGACUAGAAAUUUAUACUCAUCUAUAUACUAAAAGCUUAAAAGGUUAUUUGAUGAAUGAAGUUAAAAUGAUGACAUAAGAUGUUUAAGUCAUUUGUGCAGUAAAAGCAGUUAUUGGACUCCAUCUGAAUGAAAUUAUUGUUAGUAAUUAUGAGACAAAACCACAGAUAUUUGAUCCAGAAAGUAGAUAAAAUCCGUUUGUAUUUCUAGCUACAAAUACAAGAAGAAAAGACAGAAAAAAAGAAAAAACACAAUCAAACCAAAUCAUAUGUUAUUCUGUCAACCAGCUCAAAAUUCAUCUACGAUUUUUCUCUCUAAAGCAAAACUGGAACAAACACGAAAAAUACAGGAAACAAAACGAUCCUAACUGUAUAAGUCAUCUCCAUCAGCCCCAGCAGACGCAGUUGCAGAAGGGUCAUAUCCAGCAGCUCUGUCUGCAAACCUGAAUUCUGUUCCCAACCCUCUUGACUGCUGCAAUGUCUGAGAAAAUGUCUGGUAUUUACGGAUAUCAGCAUCACUAACACUCCUACGAGCAUACUUCAUGGAUUCCUCGAAAUGAGCUGCCAUGAUCUCUGCUACUUCAUCAUCAACAUCCUCCUCCAUAGCCUCAGGGUUCUCAUUUUUCCUCCUAUCCCUCACAAUAUCCUUCUCAAUGUUUUCUCUAAUGGCAUAUUUGCACGCACGCUGGCAUAUUUCUGUUAUAUCAGCACCACUAAAUCCUAGGGUGUACUUGGCAAGGGCUCUAAUGUCCACAUCUUUGGAAACAGGAGAUUUCCUCAAGCAAGACCUGAAUAUUUGAUGGCGAGAUUCUUCGUCAGGGAGAGGGAUGUAAAUCAACUGAUCCAGACGGCCUGGACGUAGAAGUGCAGGGUCUAUAAUGUCAGGUCUGUUGGUGGCCCCAAUGACGAAAACAGUUUUCUUUGCAGACAUUCCAUCCAUUUCCGUAAGGAGUUGGUUCAGUACCCUAUCAGCAGCACCCCCAGCAUCGCCUACGCUGCUACCUCUCUGUGUAGCAAUGGAAUCAAGUUCAUCAAAGAACAGGACACAUGGAGCAGAUCCACGGGCCUUGUCGAAAAUUUCACGUACAUUGGCCUCACUCUCUCCAAACCACAUUGUAAGCAAUUCAGGUCCCUUGACACUGAUGAAGUUUGCUUGACACUCAUUGGCAAUAGCUUUGGCGAGAAGAGUUUUACCACAUCCAGGAGGGCCAUAGAAAAGAACUCCCUUUGAGGGUGACAUUCCAAAUUUCUCAAAUUUCUCAGGAUGCUCCACUGGAUAUUGAACCGUCUCUUGAAGUUCCCUCUUGACAUUCUCGAGACCUCCGAUAUCUUUCCAACUAACAUUCGGCACCUCAACAACUGUUUCACGAAGAGCGGAUGGGUUGCUCGUGCCAAGAGCCGUCUGCAAGUGCUCGUUUGUAACUGCCAUUGAAUUAAGUAUCUCGGCAUCUAUUUCCUCAUCUUCUAAGUCAAUCACGUCCAUCUUCUCUCUGAUGCAUUGAAGUGCAGCCUCAGUACACAAAGCAGCUAGAUCAGCACCAACAUAACCAUGUGUGUCCUUAGCUAUCUUUUCUAAAUUAACUUCUUCAGCAAGCUUCAUGUUCCUGGUAUGAAUACGCAGAACCUCAAGACGCCCAACUUCAUCUGGCACACCAAUAUCUAUUUCCCUAUCAAAUCUUCCAAACCUUCUGAGAGCUGGAUCAAUGCUAUUUGGACGAUUUGUAGCCCCGAUAACAAUUACAUGCGCACGGGAUUUUAGUCCAUCCAUGAGUGUCAAGAGUUGGGAAACAAUCCUCCUCUCAACUUCUCCAUUUGUCUUGUCUCUCUUGGGAGCAAUUGAAUCGAUCUCAUCAAUAAAGAUGAUUGAUGGUGCGUUCUUCUCUGCUUCCUGAAAAGCUUUCCUGAGGUUGCUUUCACUCUCCCCAGCCAGUUUCGACAUGAUUUCUGGUCCAUUGAUGCAGAAAAAGAAUGCCCCAGUCUCAUUAGCCACAGCACGGGCAAUUAGAGUCUUACCAGUUCCAGGAGGUCCAUACAACAGAAUACCCUUUGGUGGUUUCACACCAAUUAUCUUAAACAGCUGAGGAUGCCUCAGCGGCAGCUCCACCGACUCGCGAAUUUGAGCCAUCUGUUUCCUUACUCCACCAACAUCAUCAUAUCCAACCUCAUCUAAUGACCUCUCCUCAUCCUCCCUUCUCACAGGCUCCCCGUCACAGAAGAUUUCGGUGUCGGGAGCCACCACGCAGUACUCAGGAGGGUCAGUUUCGACAACCUUGAACUCCACACUCCUCAUCCCUCCUCUCACAAGGAAGAGAUCACCCGUCCUCACGGGUCGGUAGGCCUCGAAAAAAUAAGGUCUCAAAUAUGUAUCAAACAGAUUUCCAGUCACCCCUUGGAUACUGUCAUCCACAGGGAGUACGUGAACACGGUUUCCAUACUUGACAUCAGCGCAUUGGUAAACAGAAACGACAUCUCCAAGCCUAACCCGUAGGUUGCUCCUGACAACCUUGUUCAUCCUUAUCUUUGGUUCCUCACAUUUGUCAUCAGCAACUACAAUGCAGACUGUGUCCUUCCUUUUCUUUCCCUUGAUCAAGAUUGUGUCCCCACGAAAUAGCUGGAGCCUCUCCAUAGACUCUGGGUGGAGCGUGACGACAGAGUUGUCGCCAUGGAUAUCUUCAUCCACAACAAGGCGAUUCACAGCCUUCUUGCGGUCAAGGAUUGCCGUAGUGAAGUCCUUCUUUGAACCCCCAGUGUCCGAAGAUUGAUCAGCUUUGUUGGUCAUCGUAACGAAGAAGCAGAAGAUCGAAGAAGACGAAGCGAGAGAGUUUGAGGGUUUUUGAAGCGAGAUCGAAGAAUGCAAAUAAAGAAGCAGAGAUAAAACAGAGAGAGCAGAGUAGCUAAAAGCAAUGUGGUGGGUUGUGUUGUGUUGUGAACUUGUCUAUUUAUGGGCGAGGGAAACUUUUUCUUGUUAGGAAAGGUUUCCUAGUGUUUCUGUAAACAUUUUGCACUUUUUACAAGAAAAUUUUCCUACUUGAAUUUAAUUUCCGUGUUCAAUAAGAACACAGACCAGUGUCCUAAUUGAAUUAAUUUCCGCAACCCAUAAGGAGGCGCACCUUCAUGUCCAUCCCAAAGAUUCCUAAUUGCAAUAGGUCUACAUAUUGAGUCCCUGUAGUUUGCUUUGUUUUACAUUUAAAAAGCUCUUAUAAUUUUAAUUUUCUCUAUCAAAAUUUUGUACUUUACUUCAAUUAAUACUACCCUCUAUGUCCGGUAUUUUUAUUUUUUUUAAUGUUUUCAAUUGUAACUAUCAAGAAAUGUUUUCUUUGGCCAACGACAUCUAGGCCAAUAAAAAGGAGUUUGAUUUAUAGACCAAUGGUCUCUGGUUCAAAUCCUCAUAGAAAAAUCAAGAAACUUUGAUUUUAUAUAUAAACACUAAAAGCUAUAAAUUGAAGGGAAAACCCCAAAAUUGACAUGAUAUGUGAAAUAUCAUUAUUAUCUUUGCAUUAUGAUUUUUAGAAGAAAGAAAACUUUGAUGGUAGUGUUGUAAUUUUAGAUUUUUCAAGGCUUGUAUAGCAUAUUUGGUCUAUUUGAACAGUCAAAAUGGGCUUUCUUUUUAAGGUAGUGUAUGGUUUUGUCCCCAAAAAAAAAAAUUGUAUGGCUUUUCUAUAUUCUAGGCCCUACUUAUGGGCUUACAUGUGAAAAGCCCUUAUUAUUUCAUGUGCUUAGAGCCCAAGCCAUGUCAGGAAGAGAAUUACAAGAGCUUUUAUAACGAGGAGUUUAAAAUGAGGAGCUUAUUUGAAGGUUCCAAUCCCACCAUCAAACCAUUUAAAAUGUUUAAGUCCAUUGAUUUUCUCACAUUUGUUGAUAAUGAGAUUGAACCUCUCAAAUAAGCUCCCCAUUCGAAACUCUUUAUUAUAGCAUUUUCGGAAAAUAACGCAUUAGUUUUCAGUUCAGUUGCAGCCAUCUCAACUGGUACUACGAACUGAGUACAGCAAAAUGAAUUUCACAGAACCUUUAUCAUCAAACUUUAUAACACACAUAGAUUAACUUUAAUGAAGCUUUUAAAGAAAGAGAAAGCAAAUAAGCAGCAAAUGGUGUUCGCCUGACAACAAGAACAAAAAUAGUUCAGAAAAGAAUUGCACGUCAAAGUUCAAUUUGUAGAAGAUCAAAAUGCUGGCUCACCAGUUUCUUCAUUAUUUUUCUCAAAUCUUAUCUGAAAAUUGCAUGCUGCAAUAUGCCCUACUAAUUUAAUUAUUUUGAGACAUAACCUAUUUAACAGUUGCUGAACUUUUCCCCAUGAGUCAAAUUCUAGAAACCCAAACGUUAUAUUUGGUAGCCAAUAUAAUGUUUCUUUUCUAUUUGCUUAUAUAGAAAAUAUAAAUUAAAUGCAAAGUUUGAGACAUUUUCCAACAAAGCAGUACUUGUUUUAUUUCUUUUGAAUUCUUUAGGAUCACCUUUAAAAUGAAUGAUUUCGAUAAUCAUACGAUAUUAUAGAAGAAUAAAAGAAAGAUGGAGAAAGUAGGAGAAGAAAGUACAAAUUUAUGAUAGCAGCUAGGAUUCCCCUAAUUAAGAAAAACACGAGUUUUGAACUUACAUGAGAUUGUUUAUUGCAGAUUGGGUUAUAUCAGUUAGUUAAGGCAAUGUACUUGAUUGGUUGGUCAAUGACUAGUACUGAAAUAAAACAUAAUUCGGAUGGUUCUAAAAUUUUAUAAAAAUCAAUGACUUUGAUGGUAAAAAACAGAAUAAAGAAAGAUUCAAAAUCAUUGAUCAUGACCAAAAUCUUUAAUUUUGAUUAUGAAAAACAAAACAAAAAUAUGAUUUCUGAAUUGAAAUAAGAAAGUCUUCUGAUAAGUACCUAAACUAAAACAUAUUCCAUAUGAAAAAUGACAAAAAUACAAUUCAUUUGAUGUUGAAUGACAUAAUAUAAUUUGACCACAAAAAGGAAGAAGACAUAAUAUAAAUAACAUGUGCACCACGACAGGGGUAUCCCUGUACGAAAAAUCCUCUACCUUUUAAUCUGUACAGUAUCAAUGAGAUUAUUUACAUUCACGUUUUCUACGAAAUUUUUUCUUUUUAAUUUUUACAUAACACUUGAAAUUUUUUAAAAUUACAUGAAUACACUUUUUGUAGCUCUAAAUAUUCUGCAAAUAACUCAAUAAAUUUGCGGAUAUAAAUUUAACCAACUUAACUGGAACGAAUGUAUUUCUCAAUAUCCAAAGAAUAUCGUUCAUAUAAAAAAAAUCAAUAAAUCUGAAACACAACUAUCGAAUGCUAUAUUAUAUUAGUAAAACAAAUCUGACCAAACAUUCAAAAUUUGACCAAUGGAAACUGUGACGUUUUGGCUCAUCCUCAUCGUAGCACGUUUUGCCUUUUGGCUUGGAAUCUAAUACUUGGUUGACCCAAAAAAAUGAUGAGACUUGCAUCUGAACGUAGCUCCAAAUUUCCAGACACACUAUUCAUCAACCAAAUCGAAAGUCGGACGAAAAUAAUAAAGACAAACCCAACAAGGCUACUUAGAGCAUUUCCACCCCAAUAAUAUGUUAGGGUUUGGUUGUUUUUGUUUUGACGAAAUAGUAGAAAUUCAUUUGAAGAACAGGACACAAACUCAGGAUACAACAGUAAGAAUAUAGCUCCGGAAGGAUGUUCUUGCAAGGGUUUGGUUGUUUUGUAUCAUGAUUGAGUCUGAAAAGUGGAGUGGUAAAAAUAAGAAAAAAUUAACUCAAUCCAGGUAAAUUGGGAAACUACAAGUAACUCAAUAGAAAUAUCCUCUUAAGCUGGUUGUUUUCAAACCACAAAGAAACAAGAGAGACCAAGAAACAUACAUAAAAGCCAAAGUCAACAUCUCUCUUUCUCUUCACCUAUCAAUGAACACCAAAUGUCUUCCACAAUAAAAAACAUAAACCCAAUGACCAAAUCCCAUCCUCAUAUGCUUUCUUCACCAACAGAAACCGCCUCAUUUUGUGAAACAAUGAGAGCUUCAACAAAGCACCAAUUCUGCUCCUCCAUUCUCUGCCUCACUUUACUCACUUUCUUCCCACUUGCCACCUCCAAAGACACUUUGUCUUCCGCCCAAUCCCUCCAAAACAACCAAACCCUUGUCUCCUCCGGCGGUGUCUUUGAGUUGGGCUUGUUCAAGCCCGGCGCAACUUCAGGUUGGUACUUGGGAAUCUGGUACAAAAAUAUCCAAGAAAAAACAGUUGUUUGGGUAGCAAACAGAGACAAACCAAUUUCAAAUUCAUCCUCAGCAACACUCAAAAUUGGUGACCAUGGCAACCUUGUCCUUCUUGAUGGUGAAAAUGGAACAUGGUCCUCCAAUGAAACCCAAGCCAGGAACCCAAUUGUUCAGCUUUUAGAUUCCGGCAAUCUGGUCCUCAGAGAUGGGAAUUUAAACCGAAACGGCCCGAAAGACCAGUUCCUCUGGCAGAGCUUUGAUUACCCAACAGACACUCUUCUGCCAGAUAUGAAGUUGGGGUGGAACUUAAGCUCAAACUUGGACAGGUACAUAACCUCAUGGAAAAGCACAGAAGACCCAUCAACAGGUGACAUUUCUUUCAAGCUCGACUACCGCGGUUUCCCGGAGAUUUUCCUGAGAAAGAAUCAGAAUAUAACGUACCGCAGCGGCCCCUGGAACGGGGAGAGGUUCAGCGGUGUGCCGGAGAUGACACCUUCAGACGGUAUCCAAUUCAAUUUCGUGGCCAAUUCAGAAGAGGUCUACUACUCUUUUUCGGUACGUAGCAAUUCAGAGUCGUUUUAUUCCCGAUUGAUUGUGAACCCAAAUGGGGAGCUUCAACGCCUGACGUGGAUCGAAAGCAGAAACAUUUGGAACAAAUUUUGGUACGCCCCAAAAGACCAAUGCGACGAUUACAGCGAGUGUGGUCCGUACGGCAUUUGUGACUCAAAUGCUUCUCCGGUUUGCAAGUGCUUGAAGGGUUUUGAGCCCAAGAACUUGCAGACGUGGGAUUUGAGGGAUGGGUCUGAUGGGUGCGUGAGGAAAACGCGUUUGGAGUGUUCGAAGGACAAGUUUUUGGCUCUGGGGAACAUGAAGCUGGCGGAGAGCGGCGGCGCUUUUGUGGACAUGAACAUGAGCCUGGAGGCGUGUAAGAAAAAGUGUUUGGAGAAUUGUAGUUGCACGGCGUAUUCCGACGCACGGAUAUCAGUAGGAGAAGGCUCAGGCUGUGUCAUGUGGACUGGGGACCUUUUGGACAUGAGGCAAUAUGCAGAAGGUGGACAACAUUUCUAUGUGAGAUUGGCCGCUUCUGAACUAGGUACCUUUUGUUAUAAAACAAGAGAGAAAAUGGAGAGAAUUGAGAUAGAGAGAAAACUGAUCUGGGAAAUUGGAGAGAGUCUUUUGCUCUCGCUUCUCUGUAUUAUUUCUCAUACGUUUCUGUCUUCAUAUAUUACAAUAAUUAGAAUGUGGGCUCCACACCCAAUAAUACACUCAAUAAUUUACAACACUCCCCCUUGGAGACCACAAAUGAUAUGGAAUAUGUCUCGUUAAAAACCUUGCCAGUAAAAACCCAGUGGGACAAAAACUGGUCGAAGGGAAAAAGAGUACAUAACCAUGCGUAACAUAAAAUUCUGUGUAUAUGGACAUGUGUGCGAUACUGCCUCAUUAAAACCUUGCCAGGAAAAACCCAGUGGGAUAAAAACCUGGACGAAGGAAAAAGAGUACAGUGUGUAAAGGUCUGUAUUGACAGCACGCUCCCCCUGAUGCUUGGCAAAAUAUCUUGAAGUCAUACUGUUGAUCAUCUUUCUGAAUAUCAUAGUUGACACUGCUUCUGUGAGUCAAUCUUGAGCGACACUGCCUCGUUAAAACCUUACCAGGAAAAACCCAGUGGGAUAAAAACCUGGAUGAAGGAAAAAGAGUACAGUGUGGAGCUGAGCUCUAUCUGGUCUAGUAUACUUCCGGAAAAACAUAUAAGGACCAACGGAUAAGACUCAUAAAAAUGCUUCAAUACUUUCUUAGUAUAAGCAAGAAUCUCGUUGGCAUAAUGCUCGAUCGAGACAAAUAUUUCGUGACUUCUGCAGAAGUUUUAAUGUGUUGCAAACACAUUAUAAUCAAUGUACUCACUGAGGUAAUUUAUGCAUAUUAAUAUUGAGUACAAAUUUUGUGCUUUAAGCACAUGUCCUGUAGGGACUUGCUUUAUGCAACGUCAAUCCUCUCAACGGAUUUUGUUUAAAAGGGAUUAAAUUUUAUGACACAUGAUAUAGCUUUAACCCAGCUAUUUAUACAUCUUUAGGGAAUCACUUCAGGUGAUAUGCUCUGUGCAUUUAAUAACCCUUAAAGAUAACAUGUUGGUCUCCGUAAUUGUGCAGUAAGGGGGGAGGCACAAUUGAAUCUGUAAAUAUGGAAAAAACCCAACAUUCCUUGUUUCUGCCAGAAACAUUGUGUCAUACAAAGUAGGUAUAUUCCCUUUUAUUCCGAACACCCAAGUAUAAAUUUCAAUAUUAACAUCUUUUGGGGUUCGUAUUGUGGGUUUGUGUUUUUUUUUUUUUUCACGUUCAUUCGCAUCUAUAAUGGAAUUACCUCUUUCCAUUUUGGCCAAUGAUAUUGUCGACAUUUAAUAAUUGAACGUGGUUCCAAUCAACACAGCCCAUUGAUGAUUUGAGUAGCUACUCCAAAACCAAAAAUUGUCAUUCAUCAAUUCAUGAUUCCACCAUUCUCAUGUGCAUGCGCAUGCAUCAAUUAUAAGCAUUCCUUUGCUUUUGGGUACCCAAGCCACUUCAUGGGGCUUUUAUUAUGUGAGAAUGUGGAUUAUAACCUCCAUUGGAGCGUUAUUUAGUAGUAGGGCGUGGAUAAUCUCCAUUUAGGGAGUUGGAACAUUUAGAACCCAUAUAUCUGUCAUGCUGCAGGCAUGCCACAGAUUAAUACAUACAUGUCAAUUAAUUUAUGGAGCUUUAACCCAUAUGAUGGGACUUUAACCCAUAUGAUGGGACUUUAACCCAUAUAAUUUGCUACGCAUUCGGCGUGCAUAAUAUCAAUAUUGACAUGUCAAAGGAUUGUCCUUUCGGGACUUCAAUCCACAUCAUUUGCUACGCAACAGGCGUGCAUCAUAUUGAUCACUGCUAUACCCAUAUUCUGUUCUUAUGGGACUUUAAUCUGUGCAGUGUAUUAUCAAUGUAUCCAAUUUACAAUCUGUAAAAUUUUCAUUAAUAAUGCAUGGAUACAUACAAGCCAUUCUUUUGGAACGGACUUAUCUCCCCAUUUGGUUACCUUUCAAGAUAAAAUAUCAAAUAGGUAUAUAAGCAUAAAAUAACAUAAGUAUUGCUUACAUCCUUAGGUGGGAGAAACUUUUCUCAAGCAUCAUUCAAGCUCGUAUUGGCCCAGUAAAUAUAAAGUAUCGCUUGAUGAUCUUGUUAUAUCCUGCAAGAGCAAAAUCACAACUCUUUUCUCUGUCAAAAACAAAUAAUCCUCAGAGAGUUACAGAAAGAGAAAAAAUGCAAAAAUAAUGUGAUAUUGAUUGCAAGAGAAGGUAAGCAAUCAGGGAAGGAAGCUGGUGGGAGCAAAAAAACAAGCUCUCAAUUCUCCUAGUCUAGAAGGACCUCAGGAGAUUAGAGCAUAAGGCCGCAUUCACAAUUCCCUGAUCUUGCAGAAACAUGAUCAGGGAUAGUCUUGCUUCCUGAAUGGAUGAUCAGAGAUAGUCUUGCUUCUCGGGCACAUUAAGUGCUCACUGAUAAGAAAAACAAGUAGAUAUCGCAUUUACUAGAUAUGGAGAUAACUGGAUGUCUUCUGCAAAGAAAAUUUCGUUAGUAAAACAUUUAUACACAAAUACAAUGAAUAGGUAGAACCGGUGAAUUUCAAAUUAACCAUAGUAAAAUUGCGAGAUUCUCGGGAUGCUGUUGAAAAAGUGCGAGAUUCUCGGGAUGCUAUUGAAAAAAUAGCUUCGUGAAAUCCGUAAAGCAAGAUCGGCUUUGAAAAUAAUGCUUGAAAACGCCGAAAGUGCCGACAGGCAUUAUUAGAGGCCACGUGAAGUUUUGGACUCUAGGAAAGAAAAAGAUAAUAUGGGGAUUCGAGAAGAUAUUGGAGUCCUGAAAAACAGUAGCCAUAUUUCCUCCUAUAGAUAUGGCCGUUGCAAAACUUGAUUGGAGCAACUGCGUUUCAACUCAAAUUUUUUUUUCAUUUUCUGAAACUUUAGUUUUCCUAGGACUUUCUCUCUCCCUCAAUUUUCUCUCCAGUUCCUAGGACUUUCUUCGAAACCUUCUCAAAAAUGGCUUCCUCUUCUUCCUGCCCAAAUUAUUUUAAUUUAAAUGAUGCCCCAACAGCAACCAGUGACGCCAAAGUUUGGCGUCCAUCCUUUGUAUCCCAAAAUCGUCAUCUCACAGUUAAUGAUUCUGUGAUGAUGAAUGAUGCUACUGCUGUCAUAGUAGCUAGGAAUUUCAUCACUCCAAUGGAUGAAAUGCUGUUAACAGGGAGGUCUGAGGAAGAGGCUAUUGAUGACUCAAUGGCUUUUAGCAUUCAGAGUGCUGCUUCUGUUUCUAACAUGGCUGAUCGUUUGCGUACUAGAGCAAACGAGGUUGAGAAGCUGACAACUGAAAAUUCGUCUCUUCAAAGAAUGCUUCAUGAGUCUCAACAGGAGGUUGAGAAACUGAAAGGAGAGAAUAAUGCCUUGUUGAAACUGGUGAGUUCGUACUCAGUUGAUACACUGAGAAGGCUAGACAUGCUGCAGGUCUCCAAUGAAAGAAUUUUGGGAGACCACGAGAAGCUCAUGGCUAAGCUUAAGAGGCGCCGUCAUCUUCCUUCAGAGGCUUCCAGAACAUAGUGUAAUUUUAUAGAUUUUACAGGGCCUGCACCUUCAUUGCAGGAAAAAAUCUAUCUGUUGUAUGCCCCUUUUCAGUUAUAAUAAUUGCGCACAUUCUUAAACUUGCACAUGUGGUUUUUACGUCUUUUCAAAAUGACGGUUUGGAACCUUGUGCCUUAUAGGUUCAAAUAACCACAUUGUCUCUCCCAAAUUGCAUAGUAGCCAGGAACUUUUGGCCUGGGCACAAACUCAGAAUUUAUUUGCCCUUUUCAAAUGGACAUGAAAUGUGAAUUAAGUAAAAGCCAUGAUAAUAUCGCAAUAUAGUAGUGAAGAGCAUUAACUACUAUAUACCUACAACUUCAAGUUUAGGAUCUCUCGUAUAUUUGGAUCCAUGGGCUUCCGGCCCAGAUAUAACUAAAUAUGUGGGGAGCCUCAAUUUAUUAUUUGAGGUUAAUAUUAUCCAUUUCGCGGUGUAUUCUUAACAACCGGAAUUCACAAAAUAUAUUUCUUCCUUGAGGUGUCGAUUAUAACAAAAUCGAACUUUAAAUUCAUCAUCUUCUUAUACCAAAUAAAUAUGUGGCGUACCACAAUUUGCAAUAAUACCUCAAGGGUUGUCCAUUUAAUUGUUGGAACUUCAGGUUCUCAACACUGUUAAAUUUUUGAACUUCAGGCCAAAGCCACAUAUUCUCAUGGUAUGGACAUUUUUACAAUAUUCUGUACAUAUUUCGGGACUUCAAGCCCUUACAUAAUUGUCCAUAUUUUGAGGAACUUCUGGCAUCUCAUUUAAUUGCUCAUCCAUGAGUUUAAGGAACUGCAGGUUCCCUUUUGUAUAUAGUGACGGUUUAACCAAAAUGGUUCAUAUUUAUGCAUACGUCACUAUUCAUGUAUACGGCACUAUUCAUGUGUACAGUACAUUUGCCAGUACAGUUAUCAUCCAUGUGUACGGCAUUAUGAACCAAUACGGUACUGUUACAUCAUCAAGGAACCCCAGGUCCUUAUUUACAUGUCAAGGAUCAAGGACCCUCAAGUCCAAUCCGAUCAGGGCUAACAGACCCCACCAUAGAUUAUUCCCUAUAGGAUUAGAAAUAAAUGAACCAGAAAGUGCAAUCCAAUCAAAAUAUCAUAUCAAUACCAAAAGAGAAAUUUCAGGCAUAUGCCUAUAUAUUAUGAUGAAAACAAAAGCCCAAAAGCAAAAAGAAAUAAUAAGUAUUCUUGCUAUAUCAUAUUGCAUCUAACAAAAACAAGCGGGCAAAUUCAUCAUGAAUAUUAUGGUUUGUGUUUUUUUUUUUUUUUUUUUUUUUUUUUUUAUACAUAACAACAUCCUAGCAUUAUUGAUCAUGCGGUAAAUUAUAACUGUAUCUUUCAAACCACAGUUCCACUAGGAAGUGUCAAUCAAUAUUUUAAAAACAUUUAUUUCCUUUAUGAAAUCAGAUUAUUUAACUUGACAAAAUACUCCCGCAAUGCAUGGUUUACAAAUACUGGUGAUUUGAGCAAUCUAAACUGGUCAAGAGUAUUUUAAUAAUGUAAUUAAUUAAAGGAGAUAGGGUACUUAUCCCUUUAUUUCGGUGGGUGUUCACAUGCUUUCCACUAGGCUGAUCAACUUGCUGUAUCCUACAAGGCUCGAUCUCCAGUGCCUUGCAUCAAAUCAACACCGACCUGUUAACAACUUUUAGUGGCUUACCUCCAUUUUAGAAAAAUGUUUCUUCACUGCUUUUUGACUAUACUUCCUCCAUUGAUAUCCAUCAUCAAGGAUAUCAACUUGGCUCCUCGUUUGAAAAGCACCUUUUUUUUUUUUUUUUUUUUUUUUUUUUUUUUGAGAAAAACCGCAUCAGCGACCUCUUGAUGAUCAUGGGCAUCAUGAUCAUCAUGAUCUGCGGCGUCGUCAACCUCCACCCCAGCCAGCAGCGGCUCUGUAGACUCCAACGCAGCUCUCCAGCCGCUCUGAGUCGGAUGAUCUCCUCCUCCUCCAAGAGAAGAGCAACCAGGACCUCCAUUGAGCCAUCCGAAGGUAGAGUAGCCGGACCCCCACAUCUAUGCCCGAGACGACUGCCCGGUCUCCGUCUGCGGCUACCCGGGCUUCAACCUGACCAAACCAGAGCUCAGCCAUGAUCGAGGCGGCCUGGGGUUCGGAGAAGACUCCGAGAGUGACUCGGCGGUAGAGAUCAGGCGCAUCGCAGAGGUCGAGAACCAUGUGGAGGUUGAGAAACUUCGGCAUCGGCACAGACAGCUGCUGCUCCAGCAGUGGUAAGUCCAUCAGUGGCCAAUGGAGCCAUCAUCUGCUGUUGAAUUGUAGUUGCAGAUAAGUUCUUGGCUGGUGUUGCUUAAGAGUCCGCAAAUUCCACCUUGGAUCUCACAGGCACUGCAAGCAGGUUUUGAUACACAGCAGCAACAAAGGAGAGCCUGCAAGGCAGAGACUUAGAAGCUUUUGAGGGAGGCAAAGGUCUUCUGGAUCUGGCGGCCACAGGGGUUGGGAUGAUGAGGUGAGGCUGCUGUUGGCUUUCAAAGAAUCCUCUGUUCAAUCUGAUCCCCAUGGUUUCUUGUCUGAUUGGAAAGCUACCUGCAUAAACAGCUCCUCUUCCUGCGAAUGGGCGGUGGGAAGGGAGGAUGCUGCCCCUGGUGAUGAUAAUCAGCUGGAUCGCCUCUGUCCGUUUUUGAAACUCCAGUUGGUACCAAGGGUGCCUCAGCUGCUGCUGGCGGUGCCUCUACAUCUAUUGGGUUUUCUGGAAAUAGAAAUGAAAAUGAGAAUUUGGGCAUCAUUGAAUCUGUUGUUUGAGUCUCAAUCAAACCCAAGAAAGAAAAGCGAUGAAGCAGAGUGUUUUGAUCGAAUUUCCCAGCUGGUAUUUUAGAGAUAAUUCGUGCUGAUAACGUGUUAUAAAACAAGAGAGAAAAUGGAGAGAAUUGAGAUAGAGAGAAAACUGAUCUGGGAAAUUGGAGAGAGUCUUUUGCUCUCGCUUCUCUGUAUUAUUUCUCAUACGUUUCUGUCUUCAUAUAUUACAAUAAUUAGAAUGUGGGCUCCAC